rnacentral:lncRNA from 1 species
UUUUUUCGACCAUAGUUUUAUCAGAUACAGCAAAGAAUGUAUGGAAAAAAGAGAUAAACGGAACAUGCUUCCGUUGUCAUAGCAUCGGCCUGCAAAAGAGUGACUAAUUUGGUCAACAAACCCAAUAAUCAAGGUACAUAAUUCAAAAAACUACCUAUUUGUACAUUGACUGGUUCAUCACUGUAAAACUGGGUGUUAUCCAUAUGGGACUUGGGCAGCUGCACCAAAGCGGGGACACAAUUUCCUCCCUACUGGCAUCUUCAAGGUUGAGAACACCUAUAUCCCGGGGAUUCGUCUUAUACAUCCAAUUAUAUUGCUCAUCAUCUGCGAAAUAGACACAAUUUGCCUUCAGUUGCGGAUAUUCUUCAGCACUAAGGCAUAUAGGCUGGUUACGCCCAAGAAACAACACGUUAUGAUGCAAGCUAUUUAUUUCCACGAGCUCUUCUGCUUCCAUAUCAACUUUGUGUAACCAGACUUUAUUAGUUUUAACUAUGAGCUCCUCAUAACCCGCAUCUAUGAGUUCAGCCUUCCUGCAAACUUGCAGCAGACCGCCCCAUGGACCCUGAAGAAGGUAGAACUGCCCCUUGUACUCAGAACUGUAAAUGGCAAUCUCAUCUGCAAUUAUAUUCCUCGUGACGGUACGACCAGUGAGGUCAAAAGCAUCCAUUCGCCCGGCUCUUGUGGAUGCAUACAAUAGACCAUCCAUGUAGAUGCAUAGAUCAUAGUCCCAACCCGGCGGCAGCGAGGUCCACUUACAAUCUCCUACCCUUGCAAACGAAAGCUGACGUACUGGACCAUGGAUGAGAACCGCAAUAUAGCUUCCUGUGGACGGAUCCGGAAAGAUAAAUACCCUGAUGUAGACAUGGUCACGAAGCUUGUCGGGAGCAUGGGGGAACAUUUUGGGACCAACCAUUUCGGGGUCUAAGUCCGGAUCGUAAAGUUGCUGCCGCAAUUUAUACAUAAUAACUGUGCCUGCAUUGUCAAAGAUUGGCUCUACAUAACCAAUGGUGACCACCGACGGGAGAGCAAUCUGCUGGCCGGUGACCGGAUUGAUAAGGUGUAGCUCAGACUUGUCAUCCGCGGUAACUAGCCAACCAUGUGAUGACCCAAUAAGAUACCUGUUGCGGAUGGGUGGAUCCGGGAGAGUUAAAUUGUAGACCCUCUUCUCUGCGAGGCUGUAGAGACAAGCUACAUUCUCACCAGCAGAUUCAGAGGUGUAGAGGAGGCAAGGCGUUUGAGGCCGUUUGUACAGCUUAAGCUGGCUGCAGAGGCUGGUAUACGCGGAGCGCCAGGAGGAGCUGACAGAGGCCGCACGCAUGAGGUCGGGUAUCUCCAGGAGUGAAAAUAUGUCCAUCAAUACAUCCUGCGGCAGCUCCGGCAAAUUUCUCACCACAGUUUCAGUUUCCAUGGGUGGUGAGACCUUUCUCAAUACAUCCUGCAGCAGCUCCGGCAGUUUUCUCAACACAGUUUCAGUUCCCAUCGCUGGUGAGACCUUUCUGAAUUUCCCCAAUGAAGCGGGAGAAAGAGCCAGGAGCUUAGGCAAAAUUUUCAGGCCAAAAUGAGCAAAGCUCGUUAUCCUGGCUACGCUACAGACCUCCAUUGGAGCAAUUGCAAAAGCAGGUCUUGUUGGAGAAGAGUUGCUUCAGCGGCAAACCAAUUGGACUUGGCUUGUAUCUAAUCUGAUGAGAAGAAGCACACCGAGGGCUGGCUGCACUUUAUAUCCAGUCGAGCCGAGGCCUCACCUGUGAUCCGAUUAGAAGAAGGGAGUCCGGAUCCAGCGAGGAUUGUUGCCGUAGAAACUCCAAAAAGAUCUGGAAUUCGAAUCCGAGCAAUUACCGCAAGGGCUCCCGUCGAUUGCUCCACUGCGCCUCGGAAGGAUGCCCCCCAACGAUGGGAGAGGAGAACCAACUAAUUGCCCGCCGCAGUGUAGCCCGACGGCUCGGCCGUCCCAGGAUCCGCGAGAAGGCAGAAGGUAGCGCCGGCGAGCUUGGGCUUCGUCGGCGGCGGUAAACGGGAUGCAGGAGGGGUGGUGAGAUUAGCAGUGGAAGGUGGCGGCGAGAAGCUGCUUGGCUCCGCCGUCUUCGUCGCAGGCGGCGGCGUUGUGGGGGCAGGUUGCCUUUGCAGAGGUGAGCGGAGAGGGCGUCAGUUAUGCGACCGAGCACUGUGUGCUCCGUGCGAGCGAACGAUUCCUUUUUCAUUUUCUUUUUUGAUUUGAAAACUUUCGCGCGAGCGAACGAUUCCUUUUUUUUUAUUAGAACUUCCGAGCCAGCGACCGAUUCAUUUCAAUCGCGUUGGAGUGCGUCGUUUAGUAAUUUUUUUCUGUCUGAUAAAUUUCAGAAACGCUUCCGCUCAACCGAUUGAUUAUCUCAGUUCGUUCAUCGCCUCCGUGAUCAUUAGAUCUGCCUUUCAUGCUGCCACGGCUAAAGCAAUGUUCUUCUACUUCACGCCCAUUCUUAACUCCGCCAAGCCAGGACCGUUCACCAUCGACCUCAUGGCGAUGCAUGUUGGUCCCUUUGAACUCUCACUUCUAGAAGCUUCUUUUUUCCGAGGAUGAGAUAUGAAUGACUCCAAGCAGUUUUCAAUGGGUCAAACACCGGGCCUGGAUGGUUUCGCCAUUGAGUUUAUGCAGAGUGCUUGAGAGGUGAUCAAGGAGGAUAUUUGCGGCAUGUUCGGCAAGCUACAUUUGCUCAAUUUUCGAGGCUUUCGCAAGCUUAAUGAGGCACCCAUUACUCUACUUUCCAAGAAGGCGGACGCUGCGUCACUCUUCGACUACCGGCUUGUAAUGCCCCGAGACCAUUGCGCCAGGUGUCUUCCAGUUAGUCACCAUCAUUGCCAUGUCUUUUGCUUGCGUGUUGCAUCUUGCCAUGUCAUCAUGUGUAUUGCAUCAUCAUGUUUUCAAAACUUGCAUCCGUCCGGGUUCCCCCAGUUUCGUCUGUUAUCCGUUCUGAGCCCAGACACACUUGCACGCGCCCGCGGCACCUCCGAAAUAUUAUUUUAUAAGUGGCCGGAAAAUGUUCUCGGAAUGGGUUGAAAGGUGGCAUGCGGUAUUGUUAUGUUGUCAGUAGGCCGCCUGGCAAGUUUCAUCGCAUUCGAAGUUCGUUUGAUAGCCCAACCGUUAAACAUACGGCCACAAUAUAGCCGGUCUAAUGUCGGACGUUUUCGGUCUCCGAAAACUGUUGUCGGGCCUCCCCUUCUCUUCUCUCUUCUCGGUCCAACCACACACUUGACCUCGUUCGCUAACCCCUCUUUGCUCAGUGCAUCGACCCCUCGCCCGUAUCCGAAACUUCCCCGAACCCGAACCGGACUUUCGUUACCGAUGGGUCCGGAUCGUCCCCAAACAUCUAUAAAACAUCUCUGUUUUCUUAAUUGGAUUCCCUAAGCUAUUUAUUUGCGACUGUCCGAUUCCGAUCAGAGGGACCGAGUAGCCCCUAAGCUAACCAACCUACUAUAAACAGUCUAACCCUAGAUUUUAGGCAGUGUGUCCCAUCCAUCCCAUCGCCACCGCCGCAAUCUUCUUCCUCCUCGUUUUCCCAACCUAGCCAACCACCAUCCAUCUCAGAUCCAGCCCCUCCAACCGCUGCUUUCGACCACCUCCCGUGAUUCCGUGCCACCAAAAUCCCCAGCAAACCACAGCCGUGCCUCCCGCUCCCCUCCUUGAUCCAGCUGUCGUCCAAGCCUUCCCCUUCCUCGAACCGCUGCCUCCUCCCUGUUCGGUCCGGAGGAGAGGAGCUCCUCCAUGCCCCACCUCACGACGGCCACCCUAGCAGCAGCAGCCCGGAGCGCCGCCCUCCACCGACACUCCAGCCGGCGCUCGAUCCAGUCUGAGAUUGAGGCCACAGCCUCGCUGCGCCCGAGCCUCCUAGACUCUUCCCGUGCGAGUCGUCGCCACCAGGCCGUUGCUCCCCUACCUCGCUAGCCUCCCACGCCGUCGGCCACCUCUCCGAGCAGAGCCGUCGGACCAGCAGGUCCCCGUCUCGCGUCCCUUCCUUCCCUCCUGCUCCGUUUGUCUCCCUCUCCCUUAUUUUUCUCAGCUCUCUCUCUCUCUCUCUGUUCGUCGACAGGACCCGCAACACCUUCCAUGGCCGCCGCCCAGAGUCGUUGCCACCGCACCUCUGACCGGAUCUGGACGCCUUGUCGUCUUCUGCUCGCUUCCGCCUUCCCUCGUCGCUCCAUCUUUCCCCGGCCUCGCAGGAGCCAAGCUGCCGCUGCUGCCAAGGCUCCUGUGCGCCAUCGCGGCCUCCUGCCCAUCGCGAGACACGCACGCGCUCACGCUUCACACCCGGUUCCACGCCCUCCGUCCUUCACCGCCGCGCCGGAGAUCCCUGACACCGCUGCUCUGCUCUGCUUCUUCUCGAGCAGAGGAGCGCGCCCGCAAACCUCUGCUUCACCUGCUCGAUCCGGCCAAGCGAGCACCUCGCCCGCCUUGACCCCCAUCGUCGACUGCGCCUCACCCAGCUGACUGGGUCACAGCCUCGUCAAGGCCCAUCCGCAUUCCACGUCGGCCUGCUGCUUCGUCCUCCACCAAACAGGGCGAGCCCAUGGUGAGCAUCAGAUCCAGUGCCCCCCUGUGCACUGUUGGGCCAGCAGAUUCGGCCCGAUUCAUGUUUUUUCCCAUGGAAUGAUUUUAGCUAUUAUUCCAGGAUUUACCUAUUUUGCAGAAAACCCCCUAAGCUUCAUGCAUUUAAUAACUCACAAACCGUGCAUCAUAUGUAAAAACUUUAUAUAUGUAACUUGCUUCGAAUUUCAUCUAGUUUCAUAAUCUGCAUCUUUCAUCCAUGCUAAAAAUGUUUAAAAUGUUGUUUGAUUAAAUUUGCUCAUAUGCCAUGUUAAAAUGAUUUAUUUCACAAAUUAAUAACCGUAGCUCCAAAUUUAAUAAACUUUAUAUGUAAAUGGGGUAGAAAAAUGCAUAGUUUAACAUGGUGUACUUACUUUGCAUGUUUAAAAACUCUAAAAUUAUGUUUAGUGCAGAACAGUAGCUAAUGCAUAAUAUGCAUAUGAGGAUUUUCCGGAAUUGUUGUUGUUGUUUCUGGCCUCAUUUAUACUUGCUUAAAUGUGUAGUUUUCAUAUGCUUAACCUCUUGCCAUGUUUAACAACAUUUAAUAUUGUUGGGUACAUAACCGAGAGAGAACUAAAUAAUUGAAUGUGGUGUUUCGUCAAUAUGCAACUCAUUGCAUAUUGAGCUCCACUUAAUUUGUAGUAUUGUUUGUUGCACUUUUCCAUGACAUGACUCUUUAAACCGGACAUGCAUCAUACUUGAUUGUGCAUCAUGCCAUGCUUAUGCUUGUGUGUUUACCAUGUUGCUUGCUUUUUUCCGGUUUGCUUCUCUCGUUAGCUUCGGUUUUGUUCCGGAGAUGUGAGGGUUCGUUCGACUACGUCCGUUUGCCUUCUUCUUGGACUCGUUCUUCUUCCUUGCGGGAUCUCAAGCAAGAUGACCAUACCCUCGAUAUCACUUCUAUCUUUGUUUGCUAGUUGUUCGUUCUAUUGCUAUGCUGCGCUACCUACCACUUGUUAUAUCACGCCUCUCAUAUCGCCAUGUCAAGCCUCUAACCCACCUUUCCUAGCAAACCGUUGUUUGGCUAUGUUAUGGCUUUUGCUCAGCCCCUCUUAUAGAGUUGCUAGUUGCAGGUGCCUUGCAGGUUGUUCCAUGUUGGAACAUGGAUAUGUUGGGAUAUCACAAUAUCUCUUAUUUUAAUUAAUGCAUCUAUAUACUUGGUAAAGGGUGGAAGGCUCGGCCUUAUUCCUGGUGUUUUGUUCCACUCUUACCGCCCUAGUUUCCGUCAUACCGGUGUUAUGUUCCUUGAUUUUGCGUUCCUAACGCGGUUGGGGUUAUGGGGCUCCCUUGACAGUUCGCUUUGAAUAAAAAUCCUCCAGCAAGGCCCAACCUUGGUUUUACAUUUGCCUAACAACCUAAGCCUUUUCCCUUGGGUUCCGCGGACUCAAGGGUCUUCUUUAUUUUAACCCCUCCGGGCCAGUGCUCCUUUGAGUGUUUGUCCAACCUAGAGUCCUUUGCAGUGCCACCUCGGGGAAACUUGAGGGCUGGUUUUAGUUGUACAGAGUGCUCAUCCGGUGUGCCCUGAGAACGAGAUAUGUGCAGCUCCUAUCGGGAUUUGUCGACACAUUCGGGCGGUCUUGCUGGUCUUGUUUUAGCAUUGUCGAAAUGUCUUGUAACCGAGAUUCCGAGUCUAAUCGGGUUGUUUCGGGAGAAGGAAUAUCCUUCGUUGAUCGUGAGAGCUUGUGAUGGGCUAAGUUGGGACACCCCUGUAGGGUAUAAACUUUCGAGAGCCGUGCCCGCGGUUAUGUGGUAGAUGGGAAUUUGUUAAUAUCUGGUUGCAGAGAACUUGACACUUGACUUAAUUAAAAUGAAUCAACCGCGUGUGUAGCCGUGAUGGUCUCUUUUCGGUGGAGUCCGGGAAGUGAACACGGUUUGGGUUAUGAUUGAACGUAAGUAGUUUCAGGAUCACUUCUUGAUCACUUCUAGAUUCACGACCGUUGCGUAGCUUCUCAUCUUACUCUUACUUGCAUAUGUUAGCCAACAUAUUUUCUUAGCGCUUGAUGCAGCUCCACCUCAUUACCUUAUCCUACCCAUAAGCUUAAAUAGUCUUGAUCUCGCGGGUGUGAGAUUGCUGAGUCCUCGUGACUCACGGAUACUUCCAAAUAGUUGCAUGUGCCGAUGAUACCAGUGCAGGUGAUGCUACCGAACUCAAGUGGGAGUUCGACGAGGACCUUGGUCGUUACUAUGUUUCGUUUCCUUAUGAUCAAUAGUGGAGCCCAGUUGGGACGAUCGGGGAUCUAGCAUUUGGGGUUGUCUUCUUUUAUUUUGGUUCCGUAGUCGGACCUUGAUUGUACUCUGGAUGAUGUAUGUUUAACUUUUUAUUUGUGUGAAGUGGCGAUUGUAAGACAACUCUUUAUCCCUUUCUUAUUCAUUACAUGGGACUGUGUGAAGAUUACCCCUCUUGCGACAAAACCACCAUGCGGUUAUGCCUCUAGGUCGUGCCUUGACACAUGGGAGAUAUAGCCGCAUCGUGGGUGUUACAAGUUGGUAAUCAAAGCCAUCCCCGACUUAGGAGUCCCCUGCUUGAUCGAAUCGCUGACAUUUUUGAGUCUAGAACAAAAUGUUUUCAGUCUUAGGAUUAUAUAUAUAUCGGAGAGUAGGAUUCUUUUUACUCCUCGGUCCCUUCAUCGCUCUGGUGAGGCCUCCUGAUGUAGAUGUUUUGACUUUCCUCUCCUUAAAUUUUCACGAUUUUUUUAGGAUCACGCGGGUAUCUUGGGAUCGUUCCGAUACUCUUGUGAUGAGAACAUUGUUCUUAGUGCCUCCUGACAUUUAGGGGUUGUGGCAGUGUCCCGGGGAGUUGAGCUCCGAGGUGUUGUCAUCACAAUUUUUUAUCGUUGCAAUUCUGGAAUACCUGAGUUCGCCGACAUCAAAAAUCUCUUUUAUGCAGUUGUUGGUGAGAUAAUCUCGAUGCCACCCAGUAUUGGGGCGGGAGUUCAGGAGUAUUGCCAUAACUCGUACAGCAGAUGCUUUUCGAAGGUUGAGGUACAUGAUUUCCGAAGGUUUCUUGGUUAUGUGUUGAAGGAUGGAUACAGCUGGAUGUAGGUAUUGUUAGUUUGGGUGAGAUAUUAUGCAUCACCUGUAUCCCCAACACUAGAUUGCAUAACCAGAAAGUUUCGGGAGUUUAUAAGUGGGAAUUCAAGUAGCUCCUAGAAUAUCUUUCCGACAGAUGCAUGAUAUGGGAUUGGGUAAAUCUCUAUCAUAUGUUUGUUUCCAGCUUAUUUCCUAAGUCAAUCCUUUGUUUUGUUUUGGUUUAUGGUAUUCGAGUUGCUUUAAUGCCAAGUGUUGAUUCCAUACCUUCCCUAAACAGUGUUCUCAUAUUUCUAUGUGAAUACUAAUCCUUCUUGAUCAUCGAGGUUGCCAUUUUAAUUCUAUUUCCAACCAGUGUGCUUCUCUUCAAGUGGAUCCGAUCAUUUCUACAUUCGCAAGAUCAUCCCUCAGUUUUCUCAACGGUGUUUGUUUCAACCGUCCCAAGUUGCCUUUGUUUUCCCGCCCUCCCGCCCUUUUCUUCAUGGAGCCAGAAUCCUUAAUCAAGUAUCCAUUUUAUUGAUGGGAAGUCUCUCCAUUUUUUCCGUCAACAUUCUUAUCCGGUGAUUCUCAGGAAGAUACUAACGGAGCUUCAAGUUUAUUAUUCGACGUUAUUUUUUUCUUCUCCGGUGGAUUCAACCCAUGCUUUGUCGAUCAUAUCCUUUCCUCAUUUCAAAUGCUUUCUCAUCCCGGUGCACCAAUUAAUCAUUCACCUCUCGCUAUUCUUUUGUUCCGGAAUGUUGAAGAUAUCUUAGAAGAUUCAUGUUUCCAUUCUCGAUCCAUUCAAGUUAUUUCGAGGUUGUUAUCUCAUUCAAGCAACUUAAUUCAACCGGCGCAAUCUCCCUUUCAAGUAAUCAUUCCAACGGUGUUUAUCUUGAGUGGCCCCUAACCCACAGGUCUUUUCCCAGGAUCUUACCUGACUCUUCUAUUUUCCCCGGAGUUACUCUCAAAUUCUUCUCCAAGUUUGACGUAAGAAUGAAUUAUCAUCGGUCAUAUGUAUUUCCCCAAGAUCUUUCAAAUUCUUUCCAUUGUUGGCUCAACCUCUUUGCUUUUGAUUCUCUGAAGGCCAUCAUUCGGGAUUAUUCAUUCCAGCUUUCAGCUCUCAUUCUCCAAAUCUUACCAGUGCAUCGUUCAAAUAUCCUCUAAUCAGCUCGUGAUCUAUUCGGUCUCAUGUAUUUAUAUUCUCUCAAGUAUCUUCGUUCUUUUUAUAAUUCUCCCCGGUGUUUCUUUAGUUUUUCUUCGUUUAUUUUCAAUUCUUACGGUGGUUUUUUCAAGAUUCCUCUUCCUAUAUUCUCAUAUUAAUUUAUUCGUUGUUUCAAUCCUACCGGUGGUUCGUUAAAGACCUUCCCAAGUUGAGCAAUAUCUCUCUUUAAUCCUUUUUCAAUGAGAAUAAGUAGUAUGCCAAAUCUGUUGCUUGUCAUCAAUUUAAAUUGGUGAAGGUCGUGAAGGAUACGCAUAAUUUAAUUCUUAUUCUUCUUUCACCCAAGUGAUUAAUUCCUUCCUUCGAAGUUUGUCACGAUGAAUAAAUUCUCGGUUCAAGUGCUUCAUACUUUUCCCGGAGUAACAAGCUCUCUCAAUUAUAUCAUCGCGAAGCUCCAUCUGAACCAUUGCAAGGCUUCACAUUGUGUUUUCAACUUCUCUUCCUUAUAUCAUCCUUUUAUUACCGGAGUUCUUCAUGGAGGCUACAUGGUGGUUCGUCAAGAAUUCCUUUCAUUCUUCAAUUGUUCUUCAAGAUUUCUCUCAAAGUUAAGAUCCCCCAAGCUAUACUCUAAAAUAAACAUGGUGUUCAACACAUGUCUUGUUUUGAGGAGUUCGAGCAUUCUUCAUCUUGCAUUCCGAAGUGCAAUUCUUUCAUAUCUCAUCUUUUGAGGUGGUGUUAUGUCAUUGUUGAUAAUUUCCCUUCGUGUUUCAUGAUUCAUAAGUUUUCAAGGGUGGCAUAUCUAAAUCCAUCAUUUUCUCUUUGCUCAAGACAUCUUUCCAAUCCAUCAAUCUCUUCAUUGGAGUUAUAUUGGGUUAUAUUUCACCUAAAGCUUUCCCUAAGGAUUGUUGCUAUUUAUGGUGCUCAUAAAUGACCCAAGUUCUUCAUUCAUCCUCCUGGGGAAAUAAGUUUCUCGUCUCCUUGUUCAUAUCAAUCCAAUCUAUUGUUUUCGUUAGUGGUAGAAUUUCACCUCAAGAUUUUGAGAUGUUUUCCAUAAGCCCACAAUAAGCUUACUCUUUUCGUUGUUGGUUUUCCAACAACUCCGUACGACCAAAGAUGCUUUUUCAAGCUCAUUUGAGGUAGAAGAUGUUGUUUUCUCCUCCGUUGUUUUGAUUCCAUUCUUACAUUUGUUUCGGAGGCAUUGUGAUGUUGCUCUCUUCGACCCAUCAUCUUAUUUUGUCAAGAUCAUGUUCAAUUCCUUCCAUUUAUAGUCGAAGUGCUGUACAAAUUAUAUCAUUCUUAUUCCUUCUCUAUCUUGUUUUAACCGGAGUGUUGUGUCUAUCAUUCCUCUUCUAACCGGAGUCUCAUCCAAGUGCUUUCAUUUUGCCAAGUUCAUAUUAUUACCUUCCGUUUCCAACCGGAGUGUUGUCGUAAUUGAUCUAUAUCGUUCCUUGUACAUCUCGUUUCAACCGGAGUGCUUGCAUGUACUUCUUAUCCAUUGCAACCCUUCUCUUAUGUCUUUCAACCUACAAGGUUCUAGUAAGGUUCCUUGUUCCUCUUUUCUAACGAAGUGUUUUCAACUUUGUUCAUAUUCGUUGUAUUCUUUCUUUCAAUUUGUUCAACCUCUCAAGGUUUGUGGUUUCACUCGUUUGUCCAAGAAGCAACUUAGUUUAACUCUUCUCUUCCUCUUCCGUUUCUCUCCGGUGCCAUCCUAGAUCUCGGGACGAGAUCCUCUUGUAUUGGUGGAGUGUUGUAAUGCCCCAAGACCAUUGCGCCAGGUGUCUUCCAGUUAGUCACCAUCAUUGCCAUGUCUUUUGCUUGCGUGUUGCAUCUUGCCAUGUCAUCAUGUGCAUUGCAUCAUCAUGUUUUCAAAACUUGCAUCCGUCUGGGUUCCCCCAGUUCCGUCCGUUGUCCGUUCUGAGCCCAGACACACUUGCACACACCCACGACACCUCCGAAAUAUUAUUUUAUAAGUGGCUGGAAAAUGUUAUCGGAAUGGGUUGAAAGGUGGCAAGCGGUCUUGUUAUGUUGUCAGUAGGCCGCCUGCCAAGUUUCAUCGCAUUCGGAGUUCGUUCGAUAGCCCAACCAUUAAACAUAUGGCCGCAAUAUAGCCGGUCUAACGUCAGACGUUUUCGGUCUCCGAAAACUGCUGUCGGGCCUCCCCUUCUCUUCUCUCUUCUCAGUCCAACCACACACUUGACCUCGUUUGCCUAACCCCUCUUUGCUCAAUGCAUCGACCCCUCGCCCGUGUCCGAAACUUCCCCGAACCUGAACCGUACUUCCGUUACCGUUGGGUCCGGAUCGUCCCCAAACAUAUAUAAAACAUCUCUGUUUUCUUAAUUGGACUCCCUAAGCUAUUUAUUCGCGACCGUCCGAUUCCGAUCAGAGGGACCGAGUAGCCCCUAAGCUAACCAACCUACCUAUAUAAAUAGUCUAACCCUAGAUUUUAGGCAGUCUGUCCCAUCCAUCCCAUCGCCACCGCCAUAAUCUUCUUCCUCCUCGUUUUCCCCACCUAGCCAACCACCAUCCAUCUUAGAUCCACCCCCUCCAACCGCUGCUUUCAACCACCUCCUGUGAUUCCCGUGCCACCAAAAUCCCCAGCAAACCGCAGCCGCGCCUCCCGCUCCCCUCCUCGAUCCAGCUGCCGUCCAAGCCUUCCCCUUCCUCAAACUGCUGCCUCCUCCCUGUUCGGUCCGGAGGAGAGGAGCUCCUCCAUGCCCCACCUCACACCGGCCACCCUAGCAGCAGCAGCAGUCCGGAGCGCCGCCCUCCACCGACACUCCAGCCGGCGCUCGAUCCAGUCUGAGAUCGAGGCCACAGCCUCGCUGCGCUCAAGCCUCCUAGACUCUUCCCGUGCGAGUCGUCACCACUAGGCCGUUGCUCCCCUGCCUCGCUAGCCUCCCACAUCGCCAGCCACCUCUCCGAGCAGAGCCGCUGGACCAGCAGGUCCCCAUCUCGGGUCCCUUCCUUCCCACCUGCUCCGUUUGUCUCCCCCUUCCUUAUUUUUCUCAACUCCCUCUCUUUGUUCGUCGAUAGGACCCGCAGCACCAUCCAUGGCCGCCGCCCAGAGUCGUUGCCGCCGCACCUCCAACCGGAUCUGGAUGCCUCAUCAUCUUCUGCUUCCUUCUGCCUUCCCUCGUCGCUCCAUCGUUCCCCGGCCUCGCAGGAGCCGAGCUACCGCUGCUGCCAAGGCUCCUGUGCAGCACCGCGGCCUCCUGCCCAUCGCGAGACAUGCAAGUGCUCACGCUUCACGCCCGGUUCCAUGCCCUCCGUCCUUCGCCGCCGCGCCGGAGAUCCUUGACGCCGCUGCUCUUCUCUGCUUCUUCUCGAGCAGAGGAGCGCGCUCGCAAACCUCUGCUUCGCCUGCUCGAUCCGGCCAAGCGAGCGCCUUGCCCGCGUUGACCCCGUCGUCACCUGCGCCUCACCCAGCUGACUGGGUCACAGCCUCGUCAAGGCCCAGCCACAUGCCACGCCGGACUGCUGCUUCGUCCUCCACCAAACGGGCCAAGCCCAUGGUGAGCAUAAAGAUCUAGUGCCCCUGUGUGCACUGUUGGGCCAGCAGAUUCGGCCCGAUUCAUGUUUUUUCCCACGGAACGAUUUUAGCUAUUAUUCUAGGAUUUACCUGUUUUGCAGAAAACCCCCUAAUCUUCAUGCAUUUAAUAACUCACAAACCAUGCAUCAUAUGUAAAAACUUUAUAUCUGUAACUUGUUUAGAAUUUCAUAUAGUUUCAUUAUCUACAUCUUUCAUCCAUGCUAAAAAUGUUUAAAAUGUUGUUUGAUUAAAUUUGCUCAUAUGCCAUGUUAAAAUGAUUUAUUUCAUAACUUAAUAACCGUAGCUCCAAAUUUAAUAAACUUUAUACAUAAAUGGGGUAGACAAAUGCAUAGUUUAACAUGGUGUACUUACUUUGCAUGUUUAACAACUCUAAAAUUAUGUUUAGGGAAGAGCACUAGCUAAUUCAUAAUAUGCAUAUGAGGAUUUUCCAAAAUUGUUGUUGUUUCCAGCCUCAUUUAAACUUGUUUAAAUGUGUAGUUUUCAUAUGCUUCACCUCUUGCCAUGUUUAACAACAUUUAAUAUUGUUGGGUACAUAACCGAGAGAGAACUAAAUAAUUGAAUGUGGUGUUUCGGCAAUAUGCAACUCGUUGCAUAUUGAGCUCCAUUUAAUUUGUAGUAUUGUUUGUUGCACUUUGCCAUGCCAUGACUCUUUAAACUGGACAUGCAUCAUACUUGAUUGUGCAUCAUGCCAUGCUUAUGCUUGUGUGUUUACCAUGUUUCUUGCGUCUUUCUGGUUUGCUUCACUCGUUAGCUUCGGUUUCAUUUCGAAGAUGUGAGGGUUCGUUCGACUACGUCCGUUUGCCUUCUUCUUGAACAACUUUUCCUAGCAAACUAUUGUUUGGCUAUGUUACCGCUUUUGCUCAGCCCCUCUUAUAGCGUUGCUAGUUGUAGUGCCUUGCAGGUUGUUCCAUGUUGGAACAUGGAUAUGUUGGGAUAUCACAAUAUCUCUUAUUUUAAUUAAUGCAUCUAUAUACUUGGUAAAAGGGUGGAAGGCUCGGCCUUAUGCCUGGUGUUUUGUUCCACUCUUGCCGCCCUAGUUUCCAUCAUGCCGGUGUUAUGUUCCUUGAUUUUGCGUUCCUAAUGCGGUUGGGGUUAUGGGGCCCCCUUGAAAGUUCACUUUGAGUAAAACUCCUCUAGCAAGGCCCAACCUUGGUUUUACAUUUGCCUAACAACCUAAGCCUUUUCCCUUGGGUUCCGCAGACUCAAGGGUCUUCUUUAUUUUAACCCCCCGGGCCAGUGCUCCUCUGAGUGUUUGUCCAACCUAGAGUCCUUUGCAGCGCCACCUCGGGGAAACUCGAGGGCUAGUUUUAGUUGCACGGAGUGGUCAACCAGUGUGCCCUGAGAACGAGAUAUGUGCAGCUCCUAUCGAGAUUUGUCGGUACAUUCAAGCGGUCUUGCUGGUCUUGUUUUAGCUUUGUCAAAAUGUCUUGUAACCGGGAUUCCGAGUCUAAUCGGGUUGUUCCGGGAGAAGGAAUAUCCUUCAUUGAUCGUGAGAGCUUAUGAUGGGCUAAGUUGGGACACCCCUGCAGGGUAUAAACUUUCGAGAGCCGUGCCUGCGGUUAUGUGGUAGAUGGGAAUUUGUUAAUAUCUGGUUGUAGAGAACUUGACACAUGACUUAAAUUAAAUGAAUAAACCGCGUGUGUAGCCGUGAUGGUCUCUUUUCGGCGGAGUCCGGGAAGUGAACACGGUUUGGGUUAUGAUUGAACGUAAGUAGUUUCAGGAUCACUUCUUGAUCACUUCUAGCUUCACGACCGUUGCGCAACUUCUCAUCUUACUCUUACUUGCGUAUGUUAGCCACCAUAUUUGCUUAGCGCUUGAUGCAGCUCCACCUCAUUACCUUAUCCUACCCAUAAGCAUAAAUAGUCUUGAUCUCACGGGUGUGAGAUUACUGAGUCCUCGUGACUCACGGAUACUUCCAAAUAGUUGCAUGUGCCGAUGAUACCAGUGCAGGUGAUGCUACCGAACUCAAGUGGGAGUUCGACAUGGACCAUGGUCGUUACUAUGUUUCAUUUCCUGAUGAUCAGUAGUGGAGCCCAGUUGGGACGAUUAGGGAUCUAGCAUUUGGGGUUGUCUUCUUUUAUUUUGGUUCCGUAGUCGGACCUUGAUUGUACUCUAGAUGAUGUAUGCUUAACUUUUUAUUUGUGUGAAGUGGCGAUUGUAAGCCAACUCUUUAUCCCUUUCUUAUUCAGUACAUGGGAUUGUGCGAGGAUUACCCCUCUUGUGACAAAACCACCAUGCAGUUAUGCCUCUAGGUCAUGCCUCGACACGUGGGAGAUAUAGCCGCAUCAUGGGCAUUACACGACUAAUUAGUUUGAUCCACCUCAUAGCCAAGCUUUUUGUGAAGGCUCUCUCUCUCCUACUCGCCUCGCAUCUCACUACUAUUUUUUCCACCAACCAAAGCGCGCUCAUCGCUAGCAGAAGCAUUCAUGAUAACUUCCUACUCGUGCAACAAAUGGCACGCCUUAUCCAUUACCUUAAAGCUAAUAGGAUGCUUCUGAGGCUUGACAUCCCUGCGCCUUCGACUCGGUAUCCUGGUUUUUCCUCCUCGAGAUACUUCGACUGUUGGGGAACUGUCACACCCCGAGACCGAUGUGCCAGGUGUCGUCCAGUUAUUCGCUGUUGUUGCCUCGUCAUUUGCUUGCGUGUCAUGCAUUUCAUAUCUUUACAUCAUGUGCAUUGCAUCAUGUCAUAAAUCUUUUGCAUCUCAACUAAAUAAUUUGUGUGGAUCUUCGAUCCAUUUAAAUCAAGGGAAGAGUGACUUCUCUUUAUAACUUUAUCCUCCUAAUAUUUAGGGAGUUAUUAUAAAUAUUCCAUUAAUUUGGAAUCAUCGUAACACACGUGCAAAAUAAUUCCCAUGUCUAUUCCUCUUCGAUUUUGACCUUCAAACCUUGCCAAUAUCUCUCAUCUCUUUUCUCGAGGCUCCUAAAACCUCAACAUUUUUGGAUACCUCUAAUUCCUAGCCCGUGUUCAAACCAUUUGAAUUAAAUUCAAAUUAUUUUGAAUUAAAUCCUUGUGAUCAUGCCUCUCCUAUUUUUCUUGGAACCAGUGCAUUUUUGCGAGUCGGGGAACAUUAUUUGCGUGCGCUAAUUCUUUCCCUAUCCCUCUCUUUCUUUUCGUCUCUCCAAUUCUUUUCUGUUAAAGGAAAUAUGAGGGAGAGAGAGAGAGAAGAGAGAUAGCACAUGCCGGCCCAACCUCCAGCGCAGGCCCAUCUGCCCCUCCAAGGCCCAGCCAUCCCACCUACACCUAACACUAGCCCACACCCUCUGGACGAUCCUCUCCCCCCCCUUCGUUUCUUGCUUGCGCCGCCAGGAGAGGAUCGCUCGCACCCGACUCCCUCUCCCUCUCCAUUCGCUCGAUCUCCCCACCUCUCGCUCCCGUGUCCGAACCACCUGUGCCUCCCUCUCUCUCGCUCACGUCGAGCCCCUCCACUCCUUCUUCCAGCAAGGCCCCGCACCACUCGUCCCAAUUUUGGCCGGAGCUCACCGGAGCCACAACACCGGCCGUCACCGGACCUCCUCCUCGGCUCCACCGCCGCCAAGCGCCGCCUCCAGCAGCCUCCUCCCCUCGCGUUCCUGCCUUGCCCCGCCAUGGACGCUGCAAGACCUCGCCGCUGCCUCCCCGUCUCCGGCCAUGGAGCCCGCGCCGGCGACCCGACCUGCCAGUGUCGCCGCCCUCCUUCAUCGCGGCCUCGCCUCCCUCUUCCUCCGUUCGGGCCAACGCCGCCGCCACCGGAUCAGGCUGCGCUUCGCCGGGUCCUCCCCUGCCGCCGGACCGGCCCUGCAGGAGCUUCUUGUCCCUCGCCGUCCGAUGCUGUUCCGCCCUGCCGCCUCUUGCCGAGCUACCUGUCACCUGCGUUGUCUACGUGCUGCUUCCCUGUUGCCUUUUUGUUGUCAUUGUCAAGGCCACUGAAUCCAGGGAUGCAAGACCGCCUCCGUGGAAUUUCGCCAAGUACACCACCGACAAGACCAAACAGAUGCUCGAACGAGUACCGAACGAAACACCAAGACCUACGAGAACGACUUCGUGGACCGAUGAGUACCAUGACGACCGUUGUUCACCAAGUACACCUUCAGAUGGCCAAGUUCCUCUUCAAAUGUACGACUACACGGUGUUGCGCCAAGUACCAUGAUGUCCGGAGCCCUCGGACCGUCAAGUUUCACUACCGCCGACUAGCAUGACUACCGUCGCAAAAACGAGACCGUCAAGGCCCGACCGACAAGUACCCCGACGACCCUGAACAUCUACGAUUGUGUAUGACUACUGCCGCCGUGGUUUUUGACAAGACGUCAUGAGCCUCUACUUCCACUACCGCUCCGAUGAUCGCCGAUGAAUGAUAGGACGACUACUUCGACUACCGUUGCGUGAUCCACUACUUCCCUCGAAGACCCAUGAACGACUACUUCCACUACGAACUCGUUCCGCCCGAAACGCAUGCUUCGAAGGUAUAACCCCGAGACGACCGCCCGUGGACCGAAUGCUUGCGAUGUAUGAGUUGAACCGUGUGUUGCUCCGUGUCCGAGUUGUUCUUUGCGAGUUCCUCGUUGCCAUGCCGUCCACCCGUGGGAACCCGGCAACCGGGAUCACCCCAUCAUCUUGCAUGACACACUCACUCCCACUUCCUUUUGCACCGGUAUCCCUGUGAGCUACCGGAACCGAUAUGUUGUCAUGGCAUCAUUUUCGGAUUCAUCCCCGUGGCACCCUUUCUUUCCACCACGAUGACAAAAUGCCCAAUAUAUUAUAACAUGCCAACAUUUUCAUAAAUUCUGCAUAAAACUUGCUCAUGUCAUUCGCAUCAUGAUAAUAACAUCGAAAAUGUUUAAAAUUGUUGUUGCACCAAAUUGCUAAAUGCAUAUCGGGAUUUACCGGAUUCGUUAUUUGUUAUAUCCGGCCCCAUUUAAAUUGUUUAGAGGGUGUAGUUUUGUUAUGCCUCAUCUCUUGCCAUGUUUAACAACAUUUAAUAUUGUUGGGUACCUAAACGAGAGAGAACUAAAUAAUUGAUGUGGUGUUCCGUCAAUAUGCAACUCGUUGCAUAUUGAGCUCCACUUAAUUUGUAGGAUUGCUUGUGCACUUUGACAUGUCAUGCUUCAUUAAACCGGACAUGCAUCAUACUUGUUUGCGCAUCGUGCCAUGCUUAUGUGAUGUUUGUUCACUAUGUUGUUUGCUUCUUUCUGGUGUUGCUUCUUCGGGUUAGUUCCGAUAACGUCGUGUUGUGCGGAUCUGUUCGACUAUGUCCAUUUGUCUUCUUCAUGGACUCGUUCUUCUUCCUUGCGGGAUCUCAGGCAAGAUGACCAUACCCUCGAAAUCACUUCUAUCUUUGCUUGCUAGUUGCUCGCUCUUUUGCUAUGCCUAUGCUGUGAUACCUACCACUUGCUUAUCAUGCCUCCCAUAUUGUUGAACCAAGCCUCUAACCCACCUAGUCCUAGCAAACCGUUGAUUGGCUAUGUUACUGCUUUGCUCAACCCCUCUUAUAGCAUUGUUAGUUGCAGGUGAAGAUGAAGUUUGUUCCUUGUUGGAACAUGGAGAUGUUGUUCCUUGUUGGAACAUGUUUACUUGUUGGGAUAUCACAAUAUCUCUUAUUUAAUUAAUGCAUCUAUAUACUUGGUAAAGGGUGGAAGGCUCGGCCUCUCGCCUAGUGUUUUGUUCCACUCUUGCUGCCCUAGUUUCCGUCAUAUCGGUGUUAUGUUCCCGGAUUUUGCGUUGCUUACGCGGUUGGGUGAUAAUGGGAACCCCUUGAUAGUUCGCCUUGAAUAAAACUCCUCCAGCAAUGCCCAAUAUUGGUUUUACCAUUUGCCACCUAGCCUUUUUCCCUUGGGUUUCGCGGACUCAAGGGUCAUCUUUAUUUUAACCCCCCCGGGCCAGUGCUCCUCUGAGUGUUGGUCCAACCGAGCGAUGUCCGGGGCUACCAGGGGCAACUCUAGGCUGGCCUACCCGACGUCUUGCUCAUCCGGUGUGCCCUGGGAACGAGAUAUGUGCAGCUCCUAUCAGGAUUUGUCAGCACAUCUGGGUGGUGUUGCUGGAUUUGUUUUAACUUGUCGAAAUGUCUUGUAGAACCGGGAUACCGAGUCUGAUCGGAAUGUCUCGGGAGAAGGUAUAUCCUUCAUUGACCGUGAGAGCUUGUCAUGGGCUAAGUUGGGACUCCCCUGCAGGGAUUUGAACUUUCAAAAGCCGUGCCCGUGGUUAUGGGCAGAUGGGAAUUUGUUAACGUCCGGUUGUAGAAAACCUGAAGUUGACCUUAAUUAAAAUACAUCUACCACAUGUGUAACCGUGAUGGUCUCUUUCCGGCGGAGUCCGGGAAGUGAACACGGUGUUGGAGUUAUGUUUGACGUAGGUUGUUCUAGGAUCACUUCUUGAUCAUAGAUUCUCGACCGUGCUUUUGCCUUCUCUUCUCGCUCUCAUUUGCGUUGUUAGCCACCAAAUAUGCUAGUCGCUUGCUGCAGCUCCACCUCAUACCUUUACCUUACCCAUAAGCUUAAAUAGUCUUGAUCGCGAGGGUGUGAGAUUGCUGAGUCCCCGUGACUCACAGAUAGUUCCAAAACCAGCUUGCAGGUGCCGAUGAGUCCGUGCAGAUGAUGCAACCAAGCUCAGGAGGAGCUCGAUGAAGAUCUUGUCCUUUGUGUUGUUCCAUUUCCAGUUGAUCAGUAGUGGAGCCCAGUCGGGACGAUCGGGGAUCUGUGUAGCAUUUGGGGUAGUCUUCUUUUAUUUUGGUUCCGUAGUCGGACCUUGAGUGUAUUUGGUUGAUGUAAUGCUUUAAUCAUGUAAUUUUGUGAAGUGGCGAUUGUAAGCCAACUAUGUAUCUUUUUCCCUUAUGUAUUACAUGGGUUGUGUGAAGAUUACCUCACUUGCGACAUUGCUUUCAAUGCGGUUAUGCCUCUAAGUCAUGCUUCGACACGUGGGAGAUAUAGCCGCAUCGAGGGCGUUACAAGUUGGUGUCAGAGCCUUCCCCGACCUUAGGAGCCCCCACUGCUUGAUCGUUUUUAGCAGCCGUUGUUGAGUCUAGAAAAAUGUUUUGAGUCAUGUAGGAAUUAUAUAUCGGAGAGUUUAUAAAUUCUUUUUACUCCCCAGUCCCUUCAUCGCUCUGGUAAGGGAUCCUGACGUAGAGUUUUGACUCUUCUCUUCUCAAAUUUCACUAAUUUUUUUUAGGAUCAGGCGUGUAUCUUGGAAUCGUUCCGAUCGAUUUGUGACGAGAACAUUGUUCUUGGUGCCUCCUGUCAUUUAGGGGUUGUGGCAGUGUCCCGGGGAGUUGAGCUCCGAGGUGUUGUCGUCACAAAUUUAUGGUUGCAGUUCUGGAAUACCUGAGUUUAGUUUCGCCGACAUCGAAAAUCUCUUUUAUGCAGUUGUUGGUGAGAUAACCUCGACGCCACCCAGUACUGGGGCGGGAGUUUGGGAGUAUUGCCAUAACUUGUAUAACGGAUGCUUUUCGAAGGCUGAGGUAGAUGGUUUCCGAAGUUUUUCUCGGUUUUGUGUUGAAGGAUGGAUACAGCUGGAUGUAGGAUUUGCUAGAUUUGGGUGAGAUAUUAUGCUUCCCCUGUAUCACCAACACCUGAUUGCAUAACUGGAAAGGUUAGGGAGUUUCAUAAGUGGGAAUUCAAGUAGCUCUUAGGAUAUCUUUUCAACAGAUGCAUGAUAUGAAAUUGGGGUUUGACGUCUAGUGGUCUGGCUAUUCACGGUUGGUUUUACAGUGGUCUCGUUGUGUCUUAAAGAGUCCUUGGCUAUGCUGACUCGGGGACGCUUCGUAUGUCAUGUGCACUGCCUUGUACAUGAUGGUGCUGUACGAUCGAGCCCGUGUAGGCCCCACCACGAAAACUUCGGACGAAAUCUCAUAUGGUUGUUCCGGCUUAUUCUGCAAGCCAAUUCUUGUUUUGUUUUGAGUGUGGUAUUCGAGUUGCUUCGAAGUCAAAUGUUGAUUCCAUACCUUCUCUAAAUGGUGUUCUCAUGUUCUUACGUGAAUACAAAUCCUUUGUGAUCAUUGAGAUUGUCAUCUAAAUUUCUUCUCUACCGGCAAGUGGAUCCACUCAUUUUCAACAUCCGCAAGAUUCAAUCUCAGCUUUCUCAACGGUGUUCUUUUCAUCCGUUCUAUGUCGUCUUUGUUUUCCCACCCACCCACCCUUUUUCUUCAAGGACUAAGAUUUCCCAAUCAAGUAUCAUUUUAUUGAUGGAAGUCUCUCCAUUCUUUUCCUUCAUGUUCUUACCCGGCGAUUCUCAUGAAGAUUCUAACGGAGCUUCAAGUUCAUCAUUAUUCGUUCUUUUUCUUCUUCGGUGGAACCAAGUCUAGCUUUGUUGACCAUAUAUUUUUCCUUGUUUCAAAUGUUUCUCCAUACCGGUGCACCUCAUAAUAAUUCAUUUCUCGCUAUUCUAUUGUUCCAGAGAGCUAAAGAUAUCUCGAAGACUCAUGUUUCCACUCUGCAUUCGUUCAAGAUCUUUCGAGGAUGUUCUCUCAUUCAAGUCUUUUAAUUCAACCGGUGCAAUCUAUCUUCCAAGCGACCUUUUCAACGGUGUUUCUUUCAGUGGGCCCUAACCCACAGGUCUUUUUCCAGGAUCUUACCCGACUCUUCUCAUUUUUCCCGGAGUAUUCUCCAAGUUUGACAUAAGAAUGACUCAUCAUCAGUCAUAUGUAUUUCUCCAAGAUCUUUCAAAUUCUUUUCGUCGCUAGUUCAACUUUUCUAUUCUUCUUAUUCUGGAGUAUCUCAAUGAUUCAUGGUGUUGUUUCUCGUCAUCAUUCUCGGAUUUUAAGACCGAAGAAGAGUUUUCCUCCAUACCUUGCUCCAUUUCUCUUCAAGAUUCGUGAUUCUAGCUUGUUGCCAUCCUCUCGUAAUUGUUUUCGAUGUGAGAAUUCUUUUCACCCAUCCGGAGCAUUUCAUGAGUUGUUUUUUCCAUUUCUUUUCCCCGAAGGCCAUCUUUUCAAAUAUUAUUCAUUUCUCAGCCUUCGACUCGGUAUCUUGGUUUUUCCUCCUCGAGAUACUUCGACUGUUGGGGAACUGUCACACCCCGAGAUCGAUGUGCCAGGUGUCGUCCAGUUAUUCGCUGUUGUUGCCUCGUCAUUUGCUUGCGUGUCAUGCAUUUCAUAUCUUUACAUCAUGUGCAUUGCAUCAUGUCAUAAAUCUUUUGCAUCUCAACUAAAUAAUUUGUGUGGAUCUUCGAUCCAUUUAAAUCAAGGGAAGAGUGACUUCUCUUUAUAACUUUAUCCUCCUAAUAUUUAGGGAGUUAUUAUAAAUAUUCCAUUAAUUUGGAAUCAUCGUAACACACGUGCAAAAUAAUUCCCAUGUCUAUUCCUCUUCGAUUUUGACCUUCAAACCUUGCCAAUAUCUCUCAUCUCUUUUCUCGAGGCUCCUAAAACCUCAACAUUUUUGGAUACCUCUAGUUCCUAGCCCGUGUUCAAACCAUUUGAAUUAAAUUCAAAUUAUUUUGAAUUAAAUCCUUGUGAUCAUGCCUCUCCUAUUUUUCUUGGAACCAGUGCAUUUUUGCGAGUCCGGGAACAUUAUUUGCGUGCGCUAAUUCUUUCCCUAUCCCUCUCUUUCUUUUCGUCUCUCCAAUUCUUUUCUGUUAAAGGAAAUAUGAGGGAGAGAGAGAGAAGAGAGAUAGCACAGGCCGGCCCAACCUCCAGCGCAGGCCCAUUUGCCCCUCCAAGGCCCAGCCAUCCCACCUACACCUAACCCUAGCCCACACCCUCUGGACGAUCCUCUCUCCCCCCUUCGUUUCCUGCUUGCGCCUCCAGGAGAGGAUCGCUCGCACCCGACUCCCUCUCCCUCUCCAUUCGCUCGAUCUCCCCACCUCUCACUCCCGUGUCCGAACCACCUGCGCCUCCCUCUCUCUCACUCACGCCGAGCCCCUCCACUCCUUCUUCCAGCAAGGCCCCGCACCACUCGUCCCAGUUUUGGCCGGAGCUCGCCGGAGCCACAACACCGGCCGUCACCGGACCUCCUCCUCGGCUCCACCGCCGACAAGCGCCGCCUCUAGCAGCCUCCUCCCAUCACGUUCCUGCCUUGCCCCGCCAUGGACGCCGCAAGACCUCGCCGCUGCCUCCCCAUCUCCGGCCAUGGCGCCCGCGCCGGCGACCCAACCUGCCAUUGCCGCCGCCCUCCUUCAUCGCGCCCUCGCCUCCCUCUUCCUCCGUUCGGGCCAACGCCGCCGCCACCGGAUCAGGCCGCGCUUCGCCGGGUCCUCCCCUGCCGCCGGACCGGCCCUGCAGGAGCUUCUUGUCCCUCGCCGUCCGAUGCUGCUCCGCCCUGCCGCCUCUUGCCGAGCUACCUGUCACCUGCGUCGUCUACGUGCUGCUUCCCUGCUGCCUUUUUGUUGUCAAUGCCAAGGCCACUAAAUCCAGGGAUGCAAGACCGCCUCCGUGGAAUUUCGCCAAGUACACCACCGACAAGACCAAACGGAUGCUCGAACGAGUACCGAACGAAACGCCAAGACCUACGAGAACGACUUGGUGGACCGACAAGUACCACAAUGACCGUUGUUCGCCAAGUACACCUUCGGAUGGACAAGUUCCUCUUCAAAUGUACGACUACAUGGUGUUGCGCCAAGUACCACGAUGCCCGGAGCCCUCCGACUGUCAAGUUUCACUACCGCCGACUAGCAUGACUACCGUCGCAAAAACGAGACCGUCAAGGCCCGACCGACAAGUACCCCGACGACCCUGAACAUCUACGAUUGUGUACGACUACCCCCGCCGUGGUUUUCGACAAGACGUCAUGAGCCUCAACUUCCACUACCGCUCCGAUGAUCGCCGAUGAACGAUAGGACGACUACUUCGACUACCGUCGCGUGAUCCACUACUUCCCUCGAAGACCCAUGAACGACUACUUCCACUACGAACUCGUUCCGCCCGAAACGCAUGCUUCGAAGGUAUAACCCCGAGACGACCGCCCAUGGACCGAAUGCUUGCGAUGUAUGAGUUGAACCGUGUGUUGCUCCGUGUCCGAGUUGUUUUUUGUGAGUUCCUUGUUGCCAUGCCGUCCACCCGUGGGAACCCGGCAACCGGGAUCACCCCAUCAUUUUGCAUGACACACUCACUCCCACUUCCUUUUGCACCGGUAUCCCUGUGAGCUAUCGGAACUGAUAUGUUGUCAUGGCAUCAUUUUCGGAUUCAUCCCCGUGGCACCCUUUCUUUCCACCACGAUGACAAAAUGCCCAAUAUAUUAUAACAUGCCAACGUUUUCAUAAAUUCUGCAUAAAACUUGCUCAUGUCAUUCGCAUAAUGAUAAUAACAUCGAAAAUCUUUAAAAUUGUCGUUGCACCAAAUUGCUAAAUGCAUAUGGGGAUUUACCGGAUUCGUUAUUUGUUAUAUCCGGCCCCAUUUAAAUUGUUUAGAUGGUGUAGUUUUGUUAUGCCUCAUCUCUUGCCAUGUUUAACAACAUUUAAUAUUGUUGGGUACCUAAACGAGAGAGAACUAAAUAAUUGAUGUGGUGUUCCGUCAAUAUGCAACUCGUUGCAUAUUGAGCUCCACUUAUUUUGUAGGAUUGCUUGUGCACUUUGACAUGUCAUGCUUCAUUAAACCGGACAUGCAUCAUACUUGUUUGCGCAUCGUGCCAUGCUUAUGUGAUGUUUGUUCACUAUGUUGUUUGCUUCUUUCCGGUGUUGCUUCUUCGGGUUAGUUCCGAUAACGUCGUGUUGUGCGGAUCUGUUCGACUACGUCCAUUUGUCUUCUUCCUGGACUCGUUCUUCUUCCUUGCGGGAUCUCAGGCAAGAUGACCAUACCCUCGAAAUCACUUCUAUCUUUGCUUGCUAGUUGCUCGCUCUUUUGCUAUGCCUAUGCUGCGAUACCUACCACUUGCUUAUCAUGCGUCCCAUAUUGUUGAACCAAGCCUCUAACCCACCUGGUCCUAGCAAACCGUUGAUUGGCUAUGUUACCGCUUUGCUCAACCCCUCUUAUAGCAUUGUUAGUUGCAGGUGAAGAUGAAGUUUGUUCCUUGUUGGAACAUGGAGAUGUUGUUCCUUGUUGGAACAUGUUUACUUGUUGGGAUAUCACAAUAUCUCUUAUUUAAUUAAUGCAUCUGUAUACUUGGUAAAUGGUGGAAGGCUCGGCCUCUCGCCUAGUGUUUUGUUCCACUCUUGCCGCCCUAGUUUCCGUCAUAUCGGUGUUAUGUUCCCGGAUUUUGCGUUGCUUACGCGGUUGGGUGAUAAUGGGAACCCCUUGACAGUUCGCCUUGAAUAAAACUCCUCCAGCAAUGCCUAACAUUGGUUUUACCAUUUGCCACCUAGCCUUUUUCCCUUGGGUUUCGCGGACUCAAGGGUCAUCUUUAUUUUAACCCCCCGGGCCAGUGCUCCUCUGAGUGUUGGUCCAACCGAGCGAUGUCCGGGGCUACCAGGGGCAACUCUGGGCUGGCCUACCCGACGUCUUGCUCAUCCGGUGUGCCCUGAGAACAAGAUAUGUGCAGCUCCUAUCGGGAUUUGUCGGCACAUCUGGGUGGUGUUGCUGGAUUUGUUUUAACUUGUCGAAAUGUCUUGUAGAACCGGGAUACCGAGUCUGAUUGGAAUGUCUCGGGAGAAGGUAUAUCCUUCAUUGACCGUGAGAGCUUGUCAUGGGCUAAGUUGGGACUCCCCUGCAGGGAUUUGAACUUUCAAAAGCCGUGCCCGUGGUUAUGGGCAGAUGGGAAUUUGUUAAUGUCCGGUUGUAGAAAACCUGAAGUUGACCUUAAUUAAAAUACAUCUAUCGCGUGUGUAACCGUGAUGGUCUCUUUCCGGCGGAGUCCGGGAAGUGAACAUGGUGUUGGAGUUAUGUUUGACGUAGAUUGUUCUAGGAUCACUUCGUGAUAAUAGAUUCUCGACCGUGCUUUUGCCUUCUCUUCUCGCUCUCAUUUGCGUUGUUAGCCACCAAAUAUGCUAGUCGCUUGCUGCAGCUCCACCUCAUACCCUUACCUUACCCAUAAGCUUAAAUAGUCUUGAUUGCGAGGGUGUGAGAUUGCUGAGUCCCCGUGACUCACAGAUAGUUCCAAAACCAGCUUGCAGGUGCCGAUGAGUCCGUGCAGAUGACGCAACCGAGCUCAGGAGGAUCUCGAUGAAGAUCUUGUCCUUUGUGUUGUUCCGUUUCCAGUUGAUCAGUAGUGGAGCCCAGUCGGGACGAUCGGGGAUCUGUGUAGCAUUUGGGGUAGUCUUCUUUUAUUUUGGUUCCGUAGUCAGACCUUGAGUGUAUUUGGUUGAUGUAAUGCUUUAAUCAUGUAACUGUGUGAAGUGGCGAUUGUAAGCCAACUAUGUAUCUCUUUCCCUUAUGUAUUACAUGGGUUGUGUGAAGAUUACCUCACUUGCGACAUUGCUUUCAAUGCGGUUAUGCCUCUAAGUCGUGCUUCGACAUGUGGGAGAUAUAGCCGCAUCGAGGGCGUUACAGGAACGUAGCAUGCAAUUUCAAAAAAAAUUCAUACGAUCACGCAAGAUCUACCUAUGAGAUGCAUAGUAAUGAUAUGGGAGAGUGUGUCCACAUACCCUCAUAGACCGAAAGCGGAAGCGUUAGGUUAAUGCGGUUGAUGUAGUCGAACGUCUUCACGAUCCAACCGAUCUAGUACCGAACGUACGACACCUCCGAGUUCAGCACACAUUCAACUCGAUGACAUCCCUCGAACUCUUGAUCUAGUAGAGGAUCGAGGGAGAGUUUCGUUAGCAGGCGGCGUGGUGACGGUGAUGGUGAUGUGAUCCGCGCAGGGCUUCGCCUAAGCACUACGGCGCUAUGACCGGAGGAGUAAACUAUGGAGGGGGGCACCGCACACGGCUAAGAGAAUAACUAUUGUGCUAUGGGUGCCCCCGCCCCCCUAUAUAAAGGAGGAGGGGAGGAGGCUGGCCACAAGGGGCGCACCAUAGGGGGGCAAACCGACUAGGACUCCCAAUCCUAGUCGGCCCCCUUUCCUUUCUAUCGGAGGGGAAAAGGGAAGGAGAGGGAGAGGGAGAGGGAAAUAGGAAAGGGGGCCGCCCCCUCCCCCUUGUCCAAUUCAGACUCCCUUAGGGGGGCACCCCUUGCGGGCUCCCCUCUCUCUCCCCUAUGGCCCAUGAAGGCCAAUUACUUCCCCGGGAGGUUCCGGUAACCCCUCGGUUCUUCGAUAAAUAUCCGAAACAUCCCGAAACCAUUCCGGUGUCUGAAUACCUUCGUCCAAUAUAUCAAUCUUUACCUCUCGACCAUUUAGAGACUCCUCGUCAUGUCUGUGAUCUCAUACGGGACUCCAAACAAUCUUCGGUCACCAAGACACAUAACUCAUAAUACAAAUCGCCAUCGAACGUUAAGUGUGUGAACCCUAGGGGUUCGAGAACUAUGUAGACAUGACCGAGACACAUCUCCGAUCAAUAACCAACAGUGAAACCUGGAUGCUCAUAUUGGUUCCUACAUAUUCUACGAAGAUCUUUAUUGGUCAAACCGCAAUGACAACAUAUGUCAUUCCCUUUGUCAUCCGUAUGUUACUUGCCAGAGAUUCGAUCGUCGGUAUCAUCAUACCUAGUUCAAUCUCGUUACCAGCAAGUCUCUUUACUCGUUUCGUAAUGCAUCGUCCCGCAACUACCUCAUUAGUAACAUUGCUUGCAAGGCUUAUAGUGAUGUGCAUUACCGAGAGGGCCUAGAGAUACCUCUCUAAUACUCGAAGUGACAAAUCCUUCGGAGACACCUGUAGAGCAUCUUUAUAAUCACCCAGUUAUGUUGUGACGUUUGAUAGCAUACAAGGUGUUCCUCCGAUAUUCGAGAGUUUCAUAAUCUCAUAGUCAGAGGAAUAUGUAUAAGUCAUGAAGAAAGCAAUGGCAAUUAAACUUAACGAUCAUUAUGCUAAGCUAAGGAUGGGUAUUGUCCAUCAGAUCAUUCUCCUAAUGAUGUGAUCCCGUUCAUAAAAUGACAACACAUGUCUCUGGGCAGGAAACUUAACCAUCUUUGAUUAACGAGCUAGUGAAGUAGAGGCAUACUAGGGACACUAUGUUUUGUCUAUGUAUUCACACAUGUAUCAUGUUUUCGGUUAAUACAAUUCUAGCAUGAAUAAUAAACAUUUACGAUGAUAUAAGGAAAUAUAAAUAACAACUUUAUUAUUGCCUCUAGGGUAUAUUUCCUUCAGUCUCCCACUUGCACUAGAGUCAAUAAUCUAGAUUACAUUGUAAUGAUUCUAACACCCAUGGAGUCUUGCUGCUGGUCAUGUUUUGCUCGUGGAAGAGGCUUAGUCAAUGGGUAUGCAACAUUCAGAUUCGUAUGUAUUUUGCAAAUCUCUAUGUCUCCCUCCUUGACUUGAUCACAGAUGGAGUUGAAGCGUCUCUUGAUGUGUUUGGUUCUCUUGUGAAAUCUUGAUUCCUUCGCUAAGGCAAUUGCUCUAGUAUUGUCACAGAAAAAUUUCAUUGGACCCGAUGCACUAGGUAUUACACCUAGAUUGGAUAUGAACUCCUUCAUCCAGACUCCUUCAUUUGCUGCUUCCGAAGCAGCUAUGUACUCCGCUUCACAGGUAGGUCCGCCACGACGCUCUGCUUGGAACUGCACCAACUGACAGCUCCACCAUUCAAUAUAAAAUACGUAUCUGGUUUGUGACUUAGAGUCAUCCGGAUCAGGGUCAAAGCUAGCAUCAGCGUAACCAUUUACGACAAGCUCUUGGUCACCUCAUAAAAGAGAAACAUAUCCUUAGUCCUUUUCAGGUAUUUCAGGAUGUUCUUGACCGAUGUCCAGUGAUCCACUCCUGGAUUACUUUGGUACCUCCCUGCUAAACUUAUAGCAAGGCACACACCAGUUCUAGUACACAGCAUUGCAUACAUGAUAGAUCCUACGGCUGAGGCAUUGAGAAUGACUUUCAUUUUCUCUCUAUCUUCUGCAGUGGUCGGGCAUUGAGUCUGACUCAACUUCACACCUUGUAACACAGGCAAGAACCCUUUCUUUUACUGAUCCAUUUUGAACUUCUUCAAAACUUUAUCAAGGUAUGUGCUUUGUGGAAGUCCAAUUAAGCGUCUUGAUCUAUCUCUAUAGAAAGCAGUGGGAGGACGCCGCGCGGAGGAAGGAGGAGGCCCAGAUGGAGGAGGACAGGCAAAGGAGGCGGACAAGAACAUGGAUGAGUAUGAGGUACGAUCGUUCAUGCGCUUGCUCGUUCCUUUUGCUAUGAGUUCAGUUUUCCCUUUCCUUUCUGCUCCUAUCUGAAUUGGCAAAAUGAGGAUCAUCAGCAUUACUUUCUGUUCAUCAGCGUGUUUUGACCGAUCAUCAGUGUUUAGGCAGGUUUAGAUCUCUGAAAAAAUUGAUGUUUGCUAUCACUAUAAUGGUAAAAGUAGAAUAGUUGAUCACAAUUCUGUUGCAUUACAAUUUAAAACCCCAAUCCCUUGCCAUAUUUUAGUUUCUACUGAAGAAAUGCCUAAAAAAUGCCCACCUCUACUUAUGGAUGAUGCAGAGCGUGUUCAUUCUUUGUAUGGAAUUUCAGCUAGUGUUCGAUCUUGAUGAAGUGACCGUUCUAAGGAUAAAUCACCACCCCGAUCUCUAUAUCUAGUCAGGUGAGAGUGGUUCUGGCCUCGAUUGGAUGAGGAUGGCGCCUGGGGUCUCUGGCGAUUCGGACGAUGCGGCCCCUCAGCCUCCGGCGCGCCUCGCGGUCGAUCCCGCCAGUCCGCCUCUCCGCUGCCGGCCACCGCCUCCUUGCCGCCCGCCCCCUCGUCGGAGGAUGCGCCUCCACCGCCGGCCAGUCCCGAGCCAUCCCGCUUCCGCUGGUCCAACCUCGUGGAGGACAAGGUGGCCUCGCCUGCCGGUGACUGCCCUGGCUCGCCCCCCUCCCAUCACUACAAAAAAUACACUUCCGUGAUGAUACGUUUUUGUCACAGUAGGUCGCGUUUUCUGUCAUGCAUGUACAUCCAUGACAAAUUUAUGACAGAAUCAAGAUAGUCAUACCUGUGCUGUCGUAGAAGUGUGCCAUGACAUUACCAAACUUAUCAUCACGGAAGAGUCCACUUCCAUGACGAUAAAUCGUGCGUCACAGAAGUGCUUUCGUCAAGGGUGACCGACAUGUGGCAUCCACCGUAACGGAACGCCCUUAAGAUAUCGGGUCGGGUUUUGGAUCCGAUAACCCGUUAACAACCCCGACCAAUGGGGAUUUUCCACGUGUAAAAUCAUCAUUGGCUGGAGGAAACACAUGUCGACUCAUCGUUGGGACAGAUGUCAACCACUCAUUGGAUGGAAGGCGCCUAUGAUACGUCUACACAUGGCACGGGCCCAACAGAGGCCCAUUCCUAUGAAAAGGCCGGCCCGUUUGACUUGGUUAAAAGCUGGCGGGCCGGCCCAUGGAAAGCCUGUUAAUGGCCUGUUCGAAUAUAGCCCAUUUACAGCCCGCUAACCCAAGGCCCGUUACGCCCUAUCCGAAUUAGGCCUAGUAGCGUCAUCUGGGACAUCCAAUAUGAUUCCAGCCCAUUUUCACUUCUGGCCCAUGUAUGGCUGAUGACGUCUUUUGGCCCAUAUGAGGCCCUAUGUAACUCUUGGCCUACUAACGGCCCGUGGUGAAACUGGCCCGUAAUGAACCGUGUAUCACUUUACACCCAUUAAUGGCCCGUGGUGAAACUGGCCCGUAAUGAACAGUGUAUCACUUUAUACCCAUUAACGACCCGUUAUUGCGUUGGGCCGUUUCCAGCCCAUGUUAUCUUUCGGCCUUCUGAGAGCCCAUUUAUUCUUGGGCUCAUUUCCAGCAUUCGUUUACUUACGGCCCGUUACUGUCAUUUUCUGCUUGUGGGCCAAAUUCAGCCCGUGGUUAUAGUCGGCCCGUUUGUGGUCCGUUAAUACGUUGGGCCGAUUUCAUAGCGUCAUCAAAUACGGACUAUUAACGAUGGCCUGUUAUGGUCGGCCCAUGAACGGAUGAUUCCAACUCUAGCCCGUUUACGGCCAUAAUGCGGUCUGUUUGGCCCAUGUUUGGCCAAUCGAUUAUACGACCUGUAUAAGGCCCAUUGAUAAUACGGCCCACAGAAGGCACAUUGUUUCUACGGCCCGUAGAAGGCCCAUUGUUUCGACGACCCAUAGAAGGCCCAUUGUUUCUAUGGCCAGUAGGAGGCCUAGUGUCACUACAGUAAAUAUUAGCCCAUGGUUAUUGUGGCCUAGUUUUAAAAAAUAGGUUAUUGCAGCAACUAGCUAACCGCGGAAAAAGAACUGCAAUGACUACAAGCAAAGAAAUAAACAAGACAACAAGGAAAUAAACAAGCAAGCAACUAACGCUAGGCUAUCACAGCUAUUACACAUAUUACAUCCACUGGGCAUCAAAGUUUGCCACCAGUGCAAAUAUAGGGAACAAAGCAGCAUAUCAUAUACACUGGUUGUCAAAGUUGGCGACCAGCACAAAUAAACGCCGCAGCAAAACAAAUCCAGAAUUGAAACCACUUCAGAAGAUCUCAAGAAACAAUAUCCUGGGUACCCAUAAUGCUGGCAAGAUGCUUAGCAAGCUUAUUAACUUUCUCUUGUUUGGCGCUUAAAUCCUCCAGCGCUUGCUGUUGCACCAGAAAAUAUGCAUCUGAAUUUUGCAGGGACUUCCUCAGUCCUUCAGCUUCCUGUCGCAGCACAUCUGAUCGAUGUCUUUCAACUUGAAGUUGAGACUCAAGAAGACGAACUAAUUCAGGCAGCGAGUUUGAAGAGCUUGUGCCAGUAGUAGUGUCCAGUAACUCGAACACUACAUCAAGACAGGACUUUUGGGUUCCCUCACUGUCGUCAAGAUAGUUUUUAUCAGCUUUCUUGGAGACCAACAGGGAUGUCUCACUAUCUUGAACCUUAUCUGCAUUACUUCCUUUACCAUUGGAUAACGCGGUACUGUUCUCCAAUAUUUUGUCCGCAUUCUAAAAGAGAAACAAGUAGACACAUCACAUGUUUGCCAUGUUGUAUAUGAAACUCAUUUUGGUAAAUGAGUUCAGUAGUAAAGUGGACAGGAUAACAGCAUGAAACAAACAUAUAUCUAUGUACCAUGGUCAAUUUAUGGCCUAUAUCAUUCUAGUUUUUGUUGCCAAAUCAAGAUAUAGACACAGUUCAAAUAAUAUUUGUUCAAGACAAAGUAGAAUAGACAGAAUAUAAGUGUGGGUAACUAUAGAGCAAUAACAACACUUGUAAUGUGCAUGACAUGAGAACAUAACUGUUUAUUCAAUUGAAACUGAAAUCAACAUAGAGCAGGUUACAAUAGCAAACUAGUUAAAGAAACAGGUUUAAAACAUACCUGUUGCGCCAUUGGAGUUUCAAUUCCAUCCUUCAAAUUUGAAAAUAGUUGGUAUGAGUAAAUACAGUCAUGCAAGAGGAAAGGAGUAUGAACCAUAGCUACAGAACCUGACCUGAGAACAAAUCUUCUUCUCCUUUAAGCGUUGAGUUGGGAUUCGGAGUGGUGGUCCUCGUGCUUUGGGCACUGCAGUUCCCUUACUAACUGCUCGUGUUUGGGUGCUCUGUGGUAGAGAUGGUGCUGUGUCAACUGGAACUGGGUUACUAUCUACCGGGGUUGGGGUUAGAAGGGGUGUAGCUGGUUCUCUGUCCAACUGGGUAGGGGUACAAUCUGCGAGAGUCUGGGUUAUGUGUGGUGGAUCUAGUCCUUGGGCAAGUACAACCGUGGUUCUAUCUGCAUCAAUUGGUAGCACUAUCUUUUCUGAAGACCGUGUUGUUACUCCCUUAGAUACCGCCAUCACGCUCUCCAAUUCAAAUGGCUGAUAAACAAGAAAAGUAAUUGAAAGUAUAGACAUUGUAUGAUAGACAGGUGCAAUGGAUAGUGGGGAAUAAAAGAGGGCAUGCAAUAAUUCAUAUUUAUGUUGUCUAACCAAACAGGAUAGCAUGACACAAUUUCACAUAUAUGAUGGCUAACUAAACAGGAUAGCAUGACACAAUUUCACAUUAUGAUGGCUAACUAAAAAACAUGGAAAUACAUAGUUCAAAAUAUGAGACUAUGUAAAUAGGAUGACAUGACAUAACUAUAUAAUGUGUUUAUUAAAUAGGUUGGCAUGCCAUAAUUCACAUACAUUCACGGAUAGAAUGCCAUAAUUCAAAAUAUGAUGACCGUAAACACUAAAUAGGAUGAGAUGAUAUAACUAUAUGAUGUCUUUAUUAAAUGGGUUGCCAUGCCAUAAUUCAGAUAGAUGAUGUGUAUGUACUAUGUAAACAUGAUGGCAUGAUAUAAUUCAAAUAUAUGAUUUGUAUAGUAAGCAAGUAAGCAGAUGGCAAUCCAUAUAUGAUGUAAAAACUAAGCAAUGCAAGACAACAUGCAUGACAUGGGUAAUAUAACCCUGCCAAGUUUGAGCACAGACCUCAGGGGGAAAAUAGGACUGGUCAUCAGUCUCUGAAUCCUCCUCUGAGGAGCUCUCUGUAACCAGCAAGAUGUCUGCUUCAGCAGGUAGCAUUGUCCGCUCUGAAUACCUUGUUUUCACUCCAGAUACUUCCAUCACCGCUUCAAAUGGCUGAUGCACAGGAAGAGUAGUUGAAUAUACAAACGUUGUCGACAAAUGGAACACGUAAUACAAAAAAUGAUAGCAUGAUAUAAUUCACAUAUAUGAUGAUUGGCUAAACAACAUGGCAGUGCAUAAUUCACAUAUAUAAUGCCUUUGCAACAAGAUAGCAUUGUAUAAUUCACAUAUAUAAUGUCUUGCAACAAGAUGGCAAUGCAUAAUUCACAUAUAUGGUAAUUAGACACUGAACAGGUGGCAUUCACACAAAGCAUGUCUAAACUAAUCAAAUGACAUAGCAACGCGAGACACCAUACGCACGAUAUGAGCAACAUAACCCUGCCAAGUUAGAGCAUACACCUGGGGGGUGGGGGGUGGGGGGAAUAGGACUGGCCAUCUGUCUCUGAAUCCUCCUCUAAGGAGCUAUCCGUAACCAGCAAGAUAUGCGCUUCGUCAGAUAUCAUAGUCUGCUCUGAAGACCUUGUUUUCACUCCAGAAUUUGCCAUCACCGUGUCAAAUGGCUGAUGCAGACGAAGAGCAGUUGAAUGUAAUAACAUUAUUGACAAAUGUAAUAUGUAACGAAAAAAAGGAUGGCCUGAUAUAAUUUACAUAUAAGAUGACUGGCUAAGCAGGAUGGCAUUGCAAAAUUCACAUAUAUGAUGCCUAGCUAAACAAGAUGGCGUUUCAUAAUUCACAUAAACGAUGAAUAAACUAAACAGAUGGCAUUCACACAAAGGAUGUCUAAACUAAGCAGAUGACAUAUUUGAUGUAUAAAGUAAGCAAUGCAAGACACCAUAUGCAUGAUAUAACCAACAUCAGCAUGCCAAGUUAGAGAGAAGACCUCAGGGGGUAAAUAGGAGUUGUCUUCUCCUUCUAAAUCCCCCUCAGAAAAGAUAUCUUCCUCUCGAUUACAAUCCGAAAUGCGUGGAGGGGGGCUGCCUUUGCGCCUACCAUGGAGCGACGUCUGCAUGAAAUUUUAUUGCCACGCAAGGCUCGUCUCUUUUGCUCUACAUGUUCAGUUCCAUUGUUUACAAUAACUGUCAUGCAUAGGAAUAAACCAUAGUGAGAUUAUGUAAGGAGUGCAUGCAGAAAUCCAGAGUGAUGGUAGCAACCUAUGGAUAGACCCAAAACCAAUAAUAGCAGGCAGAUAAUGGCUUCAGUUAAAAAUACAGAUAAUGGCUUCUUUACUGUUUGUUUCCCACCCAACAUGAAACUCAUAGUAGACACCGGAGAUUAACCAGAUAGUAGAUAGAUACUAUUGAUAGCGGCCCCGAUAUGUACCCCACAACCAUUUAAAAACUCAAGUUUGACCAUUAGUUUGGAGCUGACUUAGAGUCUAAUCGGUGAACAGGAUGAUAAAGUAGCAUGUAAUAUUAAGCGGUGCAUAACGUAAGCAGACACGAAAGAGUGCGACCUCUCUUGCGGACCCGUGUAGGCCUCGAGGUCAUCUGCUCGGUUGAUGAUGGUAGUGCAGUUUUCAUGGCUGCCAGCGGCGGGGAAGAAGAUCUGAGGCGGCGAAAGACAGUCUGGAGGCCGGAUCCCUGCUGUGCUGGACCCUUUUGUCAUUGGAGCAGCUAAGCUGGGGUGGACGACGGCGCAGCAGGAGCGGGACAAACCACACAAGGUUUUCUUUGACAACUAUCUAUAAGAGAAGUAAUUCUGUAAGGGCUCGUUUGAAUUGGAGGAUUCCAACAAUGCAGCGAUAGGAAAUAGACAAGAAUAGGAUAGGAAUGCAUGUGCAAAAUAGAGAAUUUAAAAACACAGGAUUUCUGCCAAUCUGGGUGUUUGAUUCACAACAAUUGGAUGAUCACAUGAUGCAAAGAAGCAUGGUGAGAUUAAGUCAAACCACAAGAAAAUGUAUGGUUAUAAUGCUAUUAUGCUACUAUCUCUUAGUCUUGUGCUUCAUGAAUAGGAAUUUGAAAAGGAGGACAAGUGAAAAUUAAAAUUCCUACAUUUUUUCUUUCAAGGAGACACUAAAGGAACAAAUCCGUAAAAAAGAGAUGCAACAAGUGUACAACCUCUUUGGCGAAGCCAUGUCGAUCUCAGCGUGAUUGGGUUGGCCAGUGAGGAUGCUCCGGCUGACUUGGCUGACGGAGGAGGGGAAGAAGAUCUUAGGCGUCUGGAGAUGGUGCCCGAGGUACUGCUCCGCUGUGAUGGAGGGUUUCGUCGUUGGAGCAGCUCCGGUGAGUUGUACGAUGCCGAGGCUGAAGCAGGACAAGAGAGACAACGAACAACGUUAACCUCAGUGGAAUUCUAAUAGCAUCUCCAAUACACGACAUAAAAUACAUAAACACAAAGUGCUAGAUGUAAAAUACAUCAGCCGCUCAUCUCUGAACUUAACUGUCGAAUGUGAAUUUAACUGUCGAAACUGAACUUAACUGUCGAAACUGAAUUUCGCUGUCAAAACUGAAUUUUGCUGUCGAAACUGAACGCACUAGUAAGGUGAGGCUACACGUCGGUCGACUGACUUUUUCAUCUCUGGUCAGUCGAUUUUGCAGCCGUUGGAUACGAAAUCAAGGGCCUGCGGUUCAUCUUCAACCUCCACCCCCUGAGACGGCCAAACAGCAGCCCCCCGCCGCCCGCGGCAGGCGGUGCGCCGCCCUGCCCGCCCCGAAAACACUCCCCACCGUUGGUCCGCCGCCGCCCCGGCCAUCCCUCUAGCCCCCCCCCGUGCCGAGCUUUUUCUCCGGCGAUCCCCACGCCACCGCCCCGCCAAUGCCCCGCCACCGUCGGCGACCACCGCCCCCAUCCUGAACCCUAAGAUAGAUAGUGGGGUACCACUCCGGCAAGCCCCCUCCCCACUGCGGCUGGUUCUUCCUUCACCCCGGCGGCAUCAGAGUGAAGUGUAGCUAAAUCGGAGCAGCAUCGCAAGCAAGAGCAAGAGCGAGAGCAGCAGCGCGAGCAAGAGCAAUAGCAAGAGCCGACCAGGCAGGGGACCGAGAGCAAGAGCAGAGUAGCAGCGCGAGCGAGAGCUAAAGCAGCAGUAGGUCCUACUGAUGUGGACGUCGAUGCCGAGGGAGCGGCGCCAUGGAGGAAGUGGCCGGCGACGCCGCCGUGGAUGGAGCCACGCCGUGUUGGCUCGGGACUGAGCGCCGGCAGCACCGUGAGAUCGAAUCAAGAAGAGAAUGUGGCGAUUAGUGUACAACCUCUUUGGUGGCGCCGAUUAGGCCGCAGCUUCAUCCGAGGAGAACAGUGAUGAUGAUGCUCUUCCGGUGGUGCAGGUGAAGACGACGGUGUGGGAAUGGAGGUGGCGCGAAAGACGAGGGGAACAUCGGGGCAACUCCUUGGAGGUGGAGGAUGGGGUGGCUGAACCGGCGGGAUGAUGAGAUCGACGACGGAUCCUCAUCCGAUACGAUGGAUGAGGGACGUCGAGGUGUUGCUGUGGACGACGUCGUCGGGGAAGAGCCUCCGGCUAGGUGGCAGAUGGAGCAGGGUGUGGGGUUUCGUCGCGGGUUUUCGCGGCCUUGAUGUACGAAUGGGUGGGCGGAUGGGAUGGUAGUGGGGAACCAUGGCUUAGAGACGCGCUUGUCCGAAAUGCGGGGUAAGUUACGAAAGUACCCCCUCCGAUUUGAGGCGGUUCUUUCGGUUCAGGGGUACCACGGGCAUUUCACGUGUCGGGAUUUCAUAGGAGGUGGGAUUUUUGGCGCGUUUUGUAAUUUCGGAAUAGCAAGGCGCGGGUUGAGAUGGAGGGAGUUGUCGGAGCACAACGAGACAAAGAUAUAUCUUAAAUAUUUCAGGCUAACAAGGCGCGGGUUGAAAUUUCCGGACAAGCCUAAUGUGUACUGUACCAAAUCAAUGCGCCCUACAAAUGUCAUUCAAAACUUUGAAUUCAUGUUAUGUUCAAUUAAAAUAUUUCGUUACGUGUAUAAUGCAUGCAACCUACUACUCAAAUGAACGUUUUAGUGCAUUCCAAACGUAUAUACUACCACUUCAAUAUGAACAAAAUUUAAAUUCGUUUCUCUAUUUGAAUAAGAUCUACAGUAAUGAUUGUUGUGAAGUCAAAGCAUUUGCAUUCGUUUCUCUAUUUUAAUAAGAUCUACAAUCAUCAUUAUUGUCAAGUUAAACCAUCGUUUGUGUAUUAUCUUCACAGCACACCACAUGAUUAGUCUCGAGUUACAUAUGAACUAUGUGUACUAUAUGAACUCGAACUAGAUUUUUUGAAUCCACUUUAUUUUGAUUUCAAAUCACAUUACAUUUCUAGCUCUAGCUAGAUCUUCAUAAUCUAAACCAUGUCUCAUAUGUAUAAUGUGUUUAUCACAUUAUGUAUGGUGUCCCACCCCUACGCCUACAAGUAUUUAGAUGUGAGUUGCAAACACCACACAUUACCACAAAUUCAAAUAAAAUGUGAGAAUGUUCGAUAUAUAGUAUUGUUUAGAUUGUUCAAUGUUUAGUUGUAAGCUGCAAACGCCACACAUUAUCACAAAUUCAAAUAAAAUGUGAGAUUGUUUGAUGUAUAGUAUGGUUUAGAUUGUUCGACAUUUAACUGUGACUUGCAAACGCCAUGCAUUAUCACAUUAUGGUAUAACAUGUGCACAACACGUGUAUCACCGCUAUAUUCAUGCAUGCAAUGUUUAAAACACUAUGAUCUCCUAUUCAAAUAUUUGAAUCCGCUUUCAUAUCAAAUUAUGAUCUUUGUUAGUCUCUUACACCCACACAAUCCUCUAACCUUUGUAGCUACCACUAACUUUCUCUCGUGCAUGCACACGCCCUCCUCGCCCUCCCCCUCCCUCGGCAUUCUAUCCACCAGGCACAUUCAUUUUUUUUCUUUAGGUCGUUCUCCCAGAGUCUCCACAACUCCUUUACGACACACACCGAUCGAUAAACCUCUCCAGCGAUGUCUGCCUACAACAUACAAACACACCUUCAAUCUCCUCCUUUAUGUGUCCUUGCCUCGUGUCUCUGAUACGGUCAGACACACGUGUAAACUCUCGCCCCUCUUUUCAUCGCUCUCACAACCACACACUCCUCCCCCUAUCUAGCUAGUAGUUGGGCCUCUCGCACCACCUCCUAGCUCCAUUCUCUCCGUCUAUCCGUCUCGCUGGGCCUUAUUUGCCUCUAACAAAUGGAUGUACACCGAUCGAUCUCUUGCUAUACAUAUAGCUAGCUAGGUUCUUAUAACUCAUUUUUACCCACGUUAAUCAAUCUACCUCAUUAGUUGUGUCUCUCCCUUCCUCCGACAAACAACAAUUGAUCUACCGAUCUAGUUAGGUUUGCUAACCAAACACAUGGUUCCCCUUCAUCAUCCAUGGAUGCGUCCCGACAGAUCUAUCACGCACAGGCACACACAGAAACACGUCCCCACUCUUAUUGAUAACAUUGCAGUUCCACCCUCAGUUUGUCUAGUAGGCCUCUCCCACCAUCUUCGAGAAGCAACUCCAUCACCCAUCCAGCACUCUACCCCUCUCCCUCCCUCUCCCUCCCUCCCUCUAUCUCUCUCUCCUCUCUCUCUCUCUCCCAUCAUAUUUCCCGUCCUUCAGUUAUGUAUGGAUGUCGACCGAUCUCCCUCAAGACAUAGCUGGGUCUCUCCUUCUCAACACAUAUACGAGUCGUUCUACCUCUAUAGUUAGGCCUCUGCCUACCCCUCCCACCACCCCCCCACACACUGAUACAUCGAGCGCUCUAGUCAUGUCUCCCUGCCACACACAAACUUGACGUGUGCCCUCUAACGUUCCGGUAGGCCAGUCGCCCUAUAUCUUUGACUUGUACACACACACAAUUUCGAUGGCUCUCUUCAUUGAUCUCGCACCCACCCACUUGAUCCUCUCUUCGACUCUAUCAAUAGCUAUGACCCCUCCCUCUCUUCUCAUGGAUUGCCCGACCCUCUAUGUAUGAUAUGGAUAGGCCUCCAUUUCACACACAUUGCAUGCAAAAUUUUGUUUGAGAUGUCAUCGACACAUAUUCCCACAAAUAAUUCACGAAAUCAACCCCCACCCCACCCCCACCCCAAAACAAAAAACACUCACGAACGCGGUUUGUAUCUCUCACACACACCCACGUAGGUGGGGGACGUGCACAAAGAGAAGAGGUGCAUGCACGGCACACGUACUCCCGUCUCUUUCCCAACCACACCCGCGCGGGUACACGGUGGAGCUCAUUUCUGUACGAAAAAGGCAGCCCACGUGGUAAUUUGGCACAUGUACUGGUUGUCCACUUGGUGGAGGGAGGAUCGUCUACCACGGGUGAACAAACAAAUUGCGACUUGACGUGUUAUGUUAAAAAAGAGGCAAACCAUGUGGGGCCUACCUUAGAGGCAAGGCUCUAUACACUGGAGUACUUUUGAUGUGUCCCGUCAACUCGCAGAACGAGGAGAAGCUUGCUUAGUACGCCGUCUCCCCCGCCCACGGGCGCGAUGGCUCGCAGGAUGAGGUGAAGCUUGCUUACCACGCCUUACGCCCGCUCAAUCGCCCAUGCGCGCGGUGGCUCGCAGGAUGAGGAGAAAAAUUUACUACUCCCUCCGUUUACUCCUCGUCCCUACUACCUUGGUUAUAGAGAUUAUAUCAUAUUAUUUGGAAUAUAUAUGUCCUUUAGUAGAUUUCAAUAUGAGCUACUAGUACAUACUCCAAACACUGAUGUAUAUAGCCGUAUUUUAGAGUGUAGAUUCACUCAUUUUGCUCCAUAUGUUGCACUCUCCCUCGCCCCUCGACCCUCGCCCACGUGGUGGACGUGCAGCAAUUCAUUCGGUCUCAUAUAGCCAGAACGAUAUAAACUGCACUACCAUUAUUGCUCGACUUCCCGAAGAGGCGAAGAGCCAAUCGCAAGGUUAAUAUUUUGGAGAUGCCAAGCGCAAGGUUAUAGGACAACGAGUAGUAGGUGCCGCGUCAUUUAUGAAUAAAGUUUUUUUUUCUUCAGUGGCACGUACGCAAUAUGAUAGGUUCAUAUGGAGAGAAAAGGAAACCGCUCCACUAUAUACAUAGUCAGGACGGGCCAGCCUACACGGUUGCUUGCUGGGGUUGCUCUCUUCACACUCUCUCGCACAAAAUGACUAUGGCCACAUCUCUAACAUCCCGGCGGAUCACGUCCACUAGGGGAAGGGGUGGAUGUUUAGUGUAGAUGCGGUGGCCGUCGCCGACGGCGAAAACCCAGUGUCGGCACGUCCCGAUCAGGGGUCCCCGCCGUUCUCUCUCACAAAGCCGGUGAGGUUGCCUUCGUCCCUUGCUCACUGCCGCGACUUGGGCAGUUGCCGCCUCCCGCCGCCCUCCUCAAGGUUGAGCUACGUCCCUCAGGUACAACUCCCUUUACAGCCGGCUUGCACCACUUCUCCAGCUACCCACACCACUCCCUAUGGAUAUUUCUCUACUUCUUUGCCCCGCACAUACCUCUACUGGCUUCUAUGUACUGUAUUUGUGAUGAGUUUAUGUCUCAUCAACUAGUCCCAGUAAUCUUAUUCUAAUCACGCUUGUUCAAUUUCUUUGCCACAGGGAUACUCAUCUCGAUUUUGGUGAAACUGCACAAAAUGAUCCGAUGGUCAAAAGGUUGCAAACUUCAUUUAUUAGGAAGAUCGAACGUUGCCAGCAAAUUGAAGCCUGGUCAGGGUUCACGGUUCAAGGGCUAGGGACGGCAUGGAUCGUUUUUUUCUUUAGAUGCCUCUGUUCCAAAAUAAGUGUCAACUUUAGUAGUAGUACAACUUUGUACUAAAGUUUGCACAAAGUUGAGAAACUUAUUUUGGAACGGAGGGAGUACAUAUUUGCUAUGAUCUGUCAAUCAUUGAGAUGCAAUAGCAUGCAUGUUAGUCUUCUUUGUAUUUGAUGAAAUGUUGCAACGGGCAACCUUGGACGCAAGAUACAUGUAACAGAAGCUGGAAGCUUCAUAGCAUUGUACAAAUUUAUCUCGCUGAUAAAUUACAACACGUACUAUACUAGUACUUCCUCCGUUCCUAAAUAUAAGUCUUUGUAGAGAUUUCACCAUGAACCACAUGCAGAUGUAUAUAGAUGCAUUUUAAGUGUAGAUUCAUUCAUUUUGUUCCGUAUGUAGUGGAAUCUCUACAAAGACUUAUAUCUACUAGUAAUAGCUAGCCCCCACUACUAGGAAUUCUCUAUCCUCUCCUUGAGCCACAUCAUCAAAAUUGAUGUAGCCGUUAGAUGAAGUAAAUCGGUCCAUAAUAGCCGUCUGAUCUUGACGUUGAGAGGCUCUACACUAAGCCACAUGCAAGCAUGCAGAAAUAGUGUGCAACAUGCAUGUGAGUGGGUUUUGAAUCACAUCAACAUGUCUGCAUGCAAGCAUGCACCGGUAGCAUGCAUGUAAGUGAGCAUUUAAGUCCCAUUAACAUGUCAAAAAGAAAAAUAUAAUCCCAUUAUGCAGUAGGAGUUGGAUGAUCUUUUUUCCUUACGUGGGAUGAUCUAAAUGAUGAUGGGAAUUUAUUUAGUUUGGCUACCACAUUUGUCAUGCGGUUAUAGAGUUUUUUAUUGUUCUAUGAAAUCAAUAAUUUUGCGCAGAGAGAUAUACCGCUGUUCCGCGCCAAUGCGCGGGGACUCAUCUAGUAAUAUUUAGGAACGGAGGGAGUACUAUGUAAAGAGUUAGGUGUCUCACGGUGAUAGUGUGAGGUGGGCCAUGUAAUCACUGAGCCUGCGUGUUUUCACUGCUCUUGCACACCUCCGCUGUUAGAAUGGAGAAAAUUGUAAUCUAGUAGUAGUAUACCUCCUUUUGCCGAAAGCGUGGGACAUCCAGCAGUCCUACCACCUUAGUAAUAAAGACCAAUGAGCCAUCAAAUCACAUAGACCCAGCAGUAAGUUGGACGGACGAAGCAACCAUCACUCUUGUGCCAGUGAGAGGUCGCGCCCGCUCUGCCCGGGCAUGAAUGCGGCACCGAUUCUUUGGAGCGGCGCUGACCGUUUCAGGCGGGAAGCGCGUGCGGGCGAUGGAGGGGCUUUGGGUGGGCCAGGCUGGUCAGGAGCGGGUGUGGCAGCUGUCCGCAUGUCCCUACCGGACACGCCCAGAAAUGAGAGGAUGCACCGACUCUCGCGGCUAAAAUCGUACACUACACAACAUCUCUCUAUAGGAAUAGGUCGAUCUGUCGCUCUCUCUAACACACACACAUGGUGUUAAACACACACACACACACACACACACACACACACCUUGGUCCCGUUGCACCUUCUAACGUGACUUAUUACACCUAGACGGAGGGAGUAGUAAGUAUACGAGAUACAGUGGCACACUGACUGUAACGCCCUCGAUGCGGCUAUAUCUCCUACGUGUCGAAGCACGACUUGGAGGCAUAACCGCAUUGAAAGCAAUGUCGCAAGUAAGGUAAUCUUCACAACAACCCAUGUAAAUAGAUAAAAGGGGUAAAGGUACAUAGUUGGCUUACACUCGCCACAUCACACAAAUACAUGAAUAACAUUACAAUCAUCCAAUACACUCAUGGUCCGACUACAGUACCAAAAUAAAAGAUCAACCCCCACAUGCGACACGGUCCCCGAUCGCCCCAGGUGGGCACCACUACUGAUCAUCUGGGAAAGACACAUAGUAACGGCGAGAGUCUUCAUCGAACUCCCACUUGAGCUCAAGCGCAUCAUCUGGAACGGUAUCAUCGGUCCCUGCAUCUGGUUUGGAAGUAAUCUGUGAGUCACGGGGACUCAGCAAUCUCGCACCCUCGCGAUCAAGACUAUUUAAGCUUAUAGGUAAGGCAAGGUAAUAUGUGGAGCUGCAACAAGCGACUAGCAUAUAUGGUGGCUAACUUGUUCGCAAAAGAGAGCGAGAAGAGAAGGCAAAAGCACGGUCGAACAACUAUGAUCAAGAAGUGAUCAUAGAACAACCUACGUCAAGCAUUACUCCAACACCGUGUUCACUUCCCGGACUCUGCCGAGAAGAGACCAUCACGGUAACACACGCGGUUGAUUCAUUUUAAUUAAGUUAAGUUUCAUGUUAUCUACAACCGGACAUUGACAAAUUCCCAUCUGCCCAUAACCGCGGGCACGGCUUUCGAAAGUUCAAAUCCCUACAGGGGAGUCCCAACUUAGCCCAUCACAAGCUCUCACGGUCAAUGAAGGAUAUUCCUUCUCCCGAGACAUUCCGAUCAGACUCGGCAUCCUGGUUUUACAAGACAUCCUCGACAAUGGUAAAACAAGUCCAGCAACACCGCCCGAAUGUGCCGACAAAUCCCGAUAGGAGAUGCACAUAUCUCGUUCUCAGGGCACACUCAGAUAGGUCAAGCUACAAGUAAAACCAACCCUCGAGUUUCCCCGAGGUGGCCCCGCAGGCUACCCAGUUCGGACCAACACUCAGAGGAGCACUGGCCCAGGGGGGUUUAACUAAAGAUGACCCUUGGGCUCCGGAAACCCAAGGGAAAAAGAGGCUAGGUGGAAAAUGGUAAAACCAAGGUUGGGCAUUGCUGGAGGAGUUUUAUUCAAGGCGAACUGUCAAGGGGUUCCCAUUAUAACCCAACCGCGUAAGGAAUGCAAAAUCCGGGAACAUAACACCGAUAUGACGAAAACUAGGGCGGCAAGAGCGGAACAAAACACUAGGCAAAAGGCCAAGCCUUCCACCCUUUACCAAGUAUAUAGAUGCAUUAUUAUAACAAGAUAAUAUGGUGAUAUCCCAACAAUAAACAAUGUUCCAACAAGGAACGAUCUCCAAUCUUCACCUGCAACUAGCAACACUAUAAGAGGGGCUGAGCAAAGCGGUAACAUAGCCAAUCAACGGUUUGCUAGGACAUGGUGGGUUAGAGGUUUGUCAUGACAAUUUGGGAGGCAUGAUAAGAAAGUGGUAGGCAUCGUAGCAUAGGCAUAGCAAAAGAGCGAGCAUCUAGCAAGCAAAGAUAGAAGUGAUUUCGAGGGUAUGAUCAUCUUGCCUGCAAAGUUGUCAGAGUUGACUUGAUCCUCGUAAGCGAACUCAACGAGCUCCUCGUUAGCGAACUCGUCUCCCGGCUCUACCCAAAAAAGACAAACAAGCAAAAGGAACACAAUCAACCACGUGCAAUGCUCAAACAACAUGAUGCAAACAUGGUAUGCUAUGCGGGAUGCGAUAUGUGAUGCAUAUGCAAGAUUUGACAAGGAAUGAUUGAACCUGGCCUCAACAUGGAAAUCCAAGAGUGCCACUGGAAAGGUGAGGUGAUUUCGGUUGAAAUCGAUAUAAAGAUCACCGGAAUCGGAUGCACGGUUUGGAAAUGGCAAGCAAAACAAAUAUGGCACCAGUCUACGAUAAUCAGCAAGUAGCCAUCUAAAAGCAUCAAGAUAAUUAUGCUACAGCACUCAAACAUGACAAAAAAAUACAUGGAAGGGAUCCACUCAUGAUUCUUGACAAAAGAUGAAAACUGAGCUACGGCCAAUUCAUCCAUUAACAGGUUCAAACAAGCAUGGCAAAAGUGCAAAUGAUAACAGGUUUCAGACUUAGUGAAAUUAACACAAGUCUGGAAUUAAACAUCAGGUAGCACACUAUAGAGCAUGAAAACUACAUGCUACAGGAACUUAACAUGGCAAAGCACAUGAAGCUACUCAAAGCACUUAACAAAAGUCCCUUAGUGACCUUGAGCCAAAAGGGAUCAGAAAAUACAAUUGCAAGCAUGUGAACAUGGCAAAAACAUAAUCAGAUUACAGACUUGGUGAAAAACUGGAGCAUGCAAAUCAGUUAGCGAGUAGGCAUGUUCACGAGCUCGAUGCACUCACUACAGAGCAUGGCAUGACAAACUAAGCAUACACCCAUCAAGAAUACAUGGCAUAGAAGCUAGACAUGGCAAGAACAACAACAUAGCAUGCACGGAUCAAUAGCAUCAUCCUCGGCAAAAUUGCUAACAAGUCAACAAUCUGCCAGGAUUCACGAAAUAGCAAAAGUAGAGCUCGAUUGACUCAAGCUAGGGUUCUCCAUAAAUGCAAACAAAGACAUGGAUGGAUAGAGCACCACAAGGUUAACAAAUCAUCCUUACUGAUCAUCCCCAAAAGAGGCACGGAUCAUUAGGAAACAACAUGAACAUAUGGCAUAACGACAAAAAUAGGGCAAAGACUUUGCAAGCUUGUGCUAGUCAUCACACAUAUCACAAAAAUACAUGGUAAGCACCUCUAUAAAGAUGGAAUGACAUAUAACAAAACACAUGUAGAGCUUAGGAGCAUAUCAUGCACACAUUAAUCAUGGCAAAAAUGACAAAUAUCUAUUUGAUGAAACAGAUCAGGCAAUUUUAUCAUAUAGCCCUCUUCCAAUAGCAUUUUGGGCAUCAAGAUGAGCUCAAAUUAAAAUGAUGCACUGAGAUUAAAUGAUGUACUCAUUGAGGCGAACAUUUUGAUAUGCUACACGCGCAAAUCGGAGCUACGGAUGCGGAGAUACGACAUGAUGAAAAUCGCAAAAAAACUAGUGUCUCUGGGGAUAAAAGUCAACCCUCGCGAAAACUAGAUCUGGAUCUGGGGACACGCUUCCCAAGGUUGGCCGGAGUAGCUUGCUGGAGUUGCGGGAUGAGGUGGCCGGAGCGGGAGGACGACGUGGCACCGGCGAGGAUGGACGGGGAGGCCGGGUCGACGGAGGGCACCGCCAGAGCUCGGCGGCGCGGGUCGGCGAGGAGAGGCGUCAGGCACUGGCGGGGAGGAGGCCNNNNNNNNNNNNNNNNNNNNNNNNNNNNNNNNNNNNNNNNNNNNNNNNNNNNNNNNNNNNNNNNNNNNNNNNNNNNNNNNNNNNNNNNNNNNNNNNNNNNNNNNNNNNNNNNNNNNNNNNNNNNNNNNNNNNNNNNNNNNNNNNNNNNNNNNNNNNNNNNNNNNNNNNNNNNNNNNNNNNNNNNNNNNNNNNNNNNNNNNNNNNNNNNNNNNNNNNNNNNNNNNNNNNNNNNNNNNNNNNNNNNNNNNNNNNNNNNNNNNNNNNNNNNNNNNNNNNNNNNNNNNNNNNNNNNNNNNNNNNNNNNNNNNNNNNNNNNNNNNNNNNNNNNNNNNNNNNNNNNNNNNNNNNNNNNNNNNNNNNNNNNNNNNNNNNNNNNNNNNNNNNNNNNNNNNNNNNNNNNNNNNNNNNNNNNNNNNNNNNNNNNNNNNNNNNNNNNNNNNNNNNNNNNNNNNNNNNNNNNNNNNNNNNNNNNNNNNNNNNNNNNNNNNNNNNNNNNGCCGGCGCGCGGGGCGACUCGGGCCACGGGGGCUUGCCCCGGGCCUCGGCAGGCCGGCGGCGCGGGAGGCGGUGGUGGCGGCUAGCUCGCCACGUGGCGGCCUGCGAUUCGUCAGGCGGCAGCGAGCGGACGUGUUCGGCUCGAUGCGGACGUGUCCGGCGGCGGGAGGAGGAAGAGGCUAGGGUUAGGGAUCCGGAUUUUUCGGGGAGAUGCACAUAUUUAUAGGUAGAGGGAGCUAGGAGGCUCCAAAUUGAGCAUGGUUUUUGGCCACGCGAUCGUGAUCGAACGCUCUAGAUGAUGGAGAGGGUUUAGGUGGGUUUUGGGCCAAAAUGGAAGGGUGUUGGGCUGCAACACUCACAAGGCCUCUUCGGUCCCUCGGUUAACCGUUGGAGUAUCAAACGAAGUCCAAAUGACACGAAACUUGACAGGCGGUCUACCGGUAGUAAACCAAGGCCGCAUGGCAAGUCUCGGUCCAAUCCAGAAAUGUUUAACCCCCACACACGAAAAGAGGUAGAAAGGACCACCGGGGGAGAUAGGAGCGCCGGAAUGCAAAACGGACGAUGGGGAAAAUGCUCGGAUGCAUGAGAUGAACACGUAUGCAAAUGCAAUGCACAUGAUGACAUGAUAUGAGAUGCAUGACAAAGGCAACAACACAUGGAGACAAAAACCUGAACCCAAGGAAAAUAAAAUAACUUAGUGCCGGAAAUGGCAAGAGUUGGGAUACAUAUAAGGUAAAUUACAUCCAGGGUGUUACACUGACUUAAGUCGAAUACAAGUGCCCAAAAAUUGUGUGCAUGUCAUAAUAAGGAUUCACUUAAAAUAAUACGUGAGCGAACAGAGGGAUCAAUUGGACAGUGUUCCCAAGCAGUAGCGAGAUGUGUGAGGUAAGAUACACCGCUGGCGCUUUUAAAUAUUUCUUAUUAAUUUGUUUGUUUCACCCUCUGACUGGUGGGACCCAAUGUACUACAUGGAGAGAGGUAAGGUGACUAAGGCUGCAUUAUUUCUGCACCAUUGUGGAUAGUCUUACCACCAAAGCCACAUGACACGAUUAUGAUUGAAAUCCCAAUGACUCCCACACACACAAAAAAACACGGCAUGCUUGUCACAUGAAUGCAGGAAUGUAUAAAAGGUUAUUUCCCUCUCGUUGAACAUAACAGGAGGGUUGUGUAGCUGGUUAGCC